AAGGUUAAACGUAUUUCCAGUCAUGAUGCUUAUUUUAUUUUAUUUAUAUUUUAUGUGUACUAACUGUUUUAGGAUCUGAGUAUAAUUAUUAAUUUGUCUUUGAAUUAGGAUGUUCAUUUGAUUGUCUGAUGUUUGAUGUGGUUUUUUUUUUGUUCAAUAUUGAUUUGCAUGGAUUUUUUUUUCCGUACUGUGAAAUGGUCUAUGAUAUUCGCAGCUUUUUGUUGUAUUUGAUUUGAAGGAAUUUGACUGUUUGAUUGUAGAAAUUGAAAAGGGGAUAUUGUUUGUUGGUUUUGGUUUUUCGCAAGUGCCUUCAUGGGUAGUGGUGGUGGCUGAUUUUCUGACCACCGCCACCACGAGGCGUUGGCGAUGCGGAUUUUCCAUUUGUUAUCUCUCUCUGUCACCACUGCCACCGACCGCCGCCACUGACCGCCGCCGCCACAGACUGCCGCCGCCCCGAUUAUUAUUAUUUGAAUCUUUAGACAUAAUAUAAUUUUUAAUUUUGACUGUCUAUUUCAUUAUAUAUAUAUAUAUAUAUAUAUAUUAUAUUCUUUCGACCACAAUGCUUCCGUUAGAAUUCGACAUUGUGGUGCGGUACGUUAGAACUCUAUAAAGCAUUUUUGUGGUCUCUUAUAUGAUCCGUUAUCGAUAACACUGAGGUAGAUUUGAAUCAGACUUAUCUCUUGUGGUAAAACAUAAAUGCUUUUUACCUUUUUAGUCCUUUAUUUUUCAAAGCUGGUCUGAUUCAGUUUAUAUAUGAUUUUUUCAUCGGAAAUUGUCUGAAUUUUAUAUAACUAUUUGUAUCUUAUUUCCCCAAACCAGACAUUGGGCUUGUGUAUCCAGGCAGCUGUCUUACUAGGUGGUUCACUGGAGAUUAAUAUUACAAAUAUUACAGGUAAGCAUUUUCAUUGACUUCAGAAAUAAAUUCAUUAUUGAUUAAGGCAGUUGGUCACUUGCUUUCAUAAAACUUGAAAAUCCCAACUAAUGCUUGAAUUUUAUUCGUCAAUUUGAUGCUAACUAGUUUUGUUUCUUACAAUUGUGCAUGUAUUAUUUAUAUGGAUUCAUUCGUUGUUUGUUACUUGUAAAUUGAGAUCGUUGUGUGGAGACAUUACUUGUAAUUGUUUUGCGUUGCCCUUUUGUAUCAGUGAACGAAAGAGCGCAUGAGGUGGAAGCGCCGAGAGAUGAGUAGGUGCUUGAGCAGGAGUUAGAUGAGUGGUUCAUGACAUUUUGGGUUGUUAUGGCUCGAAUGAUCAUGAGGGGUGUUGGGAGGGAGGUUGUCGUAUCUCACGAUUCAGUUUAAGAUUACUGCAUUAAGACUGUUGUCAUGCUGAUUGUUUGUAAGGAAUCUAAUUAUGUACUUUUUUUGUAUUUCCUUCCUAUCUUCAUGGCAUUUUGGGUUGUUAUUGGCCCGAAUAAUCAUGACUCAGUUUACAUUACUACAUUAAGACUAUUAAGUUGUUAUGGUUUUUUUGUAUACGUCCUGGUUUACUCGAAUAUUCAAUCAAAAUUCCAACCUAAUCAACAAUCUAGGGACAAACAAGCUGAGAAAACUCUGUUGCUAUUAAUUCCUUGAAGUUGAAUUGCAUACAAAGCCUUUCAACAGUACUUUGGCUCAGAACCUCUUUCCCACACAACUCUUUCAACAGGUCUGCUGCUAUAUGUCUCCUCCUCUUCAAAAGCAAGCCCUCCAACAAGAAUGGUAUAGGUAUUCUCAUUAGGCACACAUCCUUUGUUAACCAUCAUCAGAAAUAUAUCUCUAUUGACAUGUCUGUUCUCCGAGCUUUGCAAAAUCCAAGUAUAAGUGCGUUAUAGUUAUCAAUAUUAAGAAUGUCGUCAUUUUCUUCCAAAAUCCUGAAUAUCUUAUCUAGCAUUCCUUCCCUACACAUUCCUCUUAUCAUAGAUGAAUAGUUAAAGAAAUCUGGAGUAAAUCCAUACUUUGUAAUUUCGUAUGACAUCUGAAAGGCUGCAUAUGUGUUCCCUUUCCUGCAUAGGGUUGCUCUGUUUAUUACCCAAGCUUUGGAUUAUAAAGAAAGCCUCCUGCACCUUAGCUUGCUCACACAGCAUUGCAACAGCACAGUACGUUCCAAUAGGAUUACAGCGUCGUUGAAUCAUUGGUUUAUACAUUGAACAACAAGAUCCACUUUCCCUUCCUUGCAGAGGCGGGCAACAAUCGGAUUAUAGUUAGUAGCACUCACCUGGAACCCACUCCUUGUCAUUUCAUCCAAAACCUGGAAAGCUUGUUCUGUUUUUCCAUGAAAUGAAAGUGAAGUAAUCAAUGUGUUAUAAGUAACCACCGAGUGAGACUGGCCUUGUUUAUCCAUCUCUGCAAGAAGUUCGUUCGCAUCCUCCCAUCUCUCUUCAUAGCACAAACUCCUCAGCAAAAUGUUGUAACUCACAGCACUAGGAGUGAACCCUUUUGCAGGCAAUUCCCUGAAAAGCCUGAUAGCAUCUUCAGUUCUCUCUUCCUUGCACAAUAUCCUCGUAGUUUUUUUUUCUGCAGAAAUUUGUUUUAAGAAGAAGAAAUUACCUUUUUAAAAUAAAGAAAGGAGCUUAAUAAUUGAAGAAUAUUAGAAACGAUUUAAAUUUAUCGAUCCGUGAGGGCUGAAUCCGAAUACAAAAAAUUGCCUGCAUUUGCUCUGUGAUGAAGUGUUAAGUGUNNNNNNNNNNNNNNNNNNNNNNNNNNNNNNNNNNNNNNNNNNNNNNNNNNNNNNNNNNNNNNNNNNNNNNNNNNNNNNNNNNNNNNNNNNNNNNNNNNNNAUCCUACCAUUACCUGAGCUAGUCUUACUGGGCAAAAUGGACAAGACUAGAUUAUACACAGUGCAAACUUUACAAAUGUACAGUUUUAACGGUUGAGUAGCUUCCUUAAAAUGCAGCCAGUUAGGUGUGAGGACACAAUUUACUUGUGGAAAGAAGUUCUGUGCCUGAACUUCCUCUUCAUUGAAAGCCACCUAACCUUAGAGCUGCCUCUAUGGAUGGAUGGCCUGCAAUGAGUAUUCUCACCAUUGAAAACUGCUAGAUUUUUCUUUUUUUCUAGUUCCAACUUGCAACACUCUUCCCAGCUUCAUAAUCUUCAUGCCGAGUGGAUGAUAGUUUCAUACUGCCUCUAAACCAAAAUCUUGUAUUCAAUCAACUCCUUUUCAUCUACAAGCAUCAUACUCAUGCUCUGAUCUAUAUAUAUACAUCCACGGAACUAGAAUAAGGGGAAUAGGUCAUUAAAUUUUUUCUCCUUAAAGUUUGGCAAUUGGUAGUAGCAUUUAACAUUCAAUUAUACAUAUUCAACAUGUAACAUAUCCAAAACAGAUCUUUGUAGAAAGGGGGAAACGUUGCAAAAGUAAAUUAUUUCUUUCAUCAGGAGUACAAACUACAAGAGAAUUGAAGGAGAAAUAUUCUGUAGAUGCCAUUUCAUGAAUCCUUUCGAAUUUGAACAGGAACUGUCAUCAUGGGGGAAAAUAAUAUGUUUCAGUUUAAUUUAUGGCAUAGUAUUCAUGAAGCAGUAGCUGAUUGCUUCAUAUUGGUUUUACGUAUAUUGAAAAUACAUGUGAUUAAAAUUGAGUAGGACAUACAAAAUCAUUAGCAAGCUCUUCUUUCCUUAAAAACCGUAGCAGUAUCAAUCACAAAUCAUGACAUAUUUGAUGCAAUAGGCAUUGUUUUAGUCAUACCAGAAAAAAAUCUUUCUACAACUUAAUUCAGUUUUCAAGUCAUUAAUCCAUUUCAUCACUUUCCUGAAAUCAACAUUAGUAUUUACCCCUAUUCAAUCAACUUCAUGAAAUGCAUUGCACGUCUUAUCAAGUCGUUCUCCUUCACCAUUACCAAUUAAAUCAUCGUAACUACUUCUGACUCGCUUGGUUAAAGGUUAAGUUACAAGUUCUAACUGUCCAAUACACCUUAUGCUCAAUCUCAAUAUGUAAGUGGUACGCCUUGUAAGAAAACAAUAUAAAGGGAGAUAUCCCAAGAGGUGCUUUAUAGAUGGUCUUAUAAGCCCAAAGAACAUCAUAUUCUUCCAAUUGGAUCACACCAUCUUCUCUAUAUUUCGCUUGAUCUCUCUAUUAGAGAGCUCUACUCGUCCAUUAGUCCGAGGGUGAGUGUAGAAACUUGAUGUACCACCCUAUACUUCAAUAAUAGUGAGUCCCUUAAUAACUAAUGAUUGCUCGAUCAAGAUACGGGCAAAAAAAAUGAGACUUAACAAAAUUCACUACUCGAACAUCAUUUUUGUAGCUAUAACCUCUAAAUAUAUUUAUCUGAUUUGAAGCUUGAAAUUUCAUCAUGAUUUUAUCUUUAAAAGUCGUCUUAGAUGAUUAAAAGAUGAAUGUAUAUUUAAAUUAUCCUUGACUUUUGACUUCUAGGCGACGUCUAUCAGGCGUACUAGAAUAAUCCACUCAAUCGAAGAUUAAAGGAGAACAAUAGUUUGUCUUUGGAACCACUUUUCUAUUCUCAAAAGCGACAUCAAAUUUGUUGACAUAACAUAAUUAAGAUUAAUCACUGCCUCCGAUAUAUUGUCUAUUUAAAAAGUGUCUCAAAUGAUUAAGAAAAAUAUGUAUAUUUAAAUUGUCUUUUGAUCUUAACUUUUAAAUAAUGUUGAAGUAUUAGACUUACCGACCAACAAUAAAAUAAUUUAGUUUAUUAAAAUAUUUUAAAAAAAUUGAACUAACGCAGUUCAUACAAGAAUGAAAAUUAACUAAACUAAUUAUUCAUAAUUUUAUAAACUUAUCAUAAAUUUUAAAUCAUUCGAAAAACUAAUUAAAAAAUUAUGCUUAUUAUUUUUUUUCUUUAUUUCCAGUAUUAGUUACUUCAAAGUUUUAUAAAUUAAAACGAAAAGAAAAAUAUCCCUCCCACUAAUUCCCUAAAUCGACACCCUUAACAUUUCAAGACCUUCAAUUCAAAUUUACAUUUAUCUCGGAAUCACAUAACACUAUGUACUUUAGCCUUGGCUUCUCCCUUUGAAACUCUUGUGGACUUCUCAUCUCCAUUUCGUUUGCGUCGGUCUCAUCUUCACACAUCACGCACGCCACCAUCAUCGGGGCAGGAAAACAUGGACUGAAAGAACGUUGCGUCAAAGAGGAAGAACCCUUUACGUUGACGAGGGAGAGUAGAGGACACCGAUUUCACAAUUUCUAAGGCAUACUUUACAAAUUAAUUGGUUAUAUAAUUACUCGUUUUCUAAGGCAUGAUUAAUUUUUAAAGAGUAUCUUAUUAAAAUCUUAUCUUUAUAUUAUUUUUUAUUAAAAAAAUUUAAAUAUAACUCUUUCCUUAUAACUAGAUCCACUCUCACUCUUAAUGUUAAUUCCUUUAGAUGAUUAAAAUAAAACAUUCUAUUUUUUAGUACAUUAAAUUUAAUUUUUUAAAAAUAAAAUACAAUAAAGGUCACACUGCCAUGAUAAGUGAGUGGGGUAUGAUUUUUUUUUUUUUUGCAGAAAAAAUAAAAUAAUUAUUUUUUUUAUUUAUGCGGAUCAGCAGACCAACCCACCCGGUCCGUGCGGGAUGUAGGUUAUGCGCGAUGGGUUAGCGGGCUAGACUAGUGAGUCUGUCCUGCGCUUUUUGGUGGCGGUCCGCCCCGCAUUAUCAUCCCUAUUUAUUUAUUUGUGAAUUUUACUUGUUUGUAAUUAAAACAUCAAUUUCGAAAUUGUAUUGGAACUUACUCGAGAACAAAAUCCAGGUUAUGUCAAUUUUAAGAAAAUAGAAAUUUAUCAGAAAAUAAUUAUGUUUGCAUUAAAAAUAAAAUUUUAACUUUUAAUAAUUGUAAAAAAUGUUAGGUGAAAAAUUAUCAAUAUAAUUUUCUAAAAUAUAAUUAUUAAAUUAAUUUUUAUUGAAUUUAAAUAAUAUUAUUAAUUGUAAGAACACCCAACAGUUUGUAAGCAUACCCUAGCAGCUACUAAGCACACCACCUGUAGCUACUAACCACAUCCCAACAACAAUUAAACACACCACCAAAGAGGCACAUAGAACAACAAUUAGAACACAUAGUCGAUUAUUAAAGCGGGAUAAUCAAUUAUCCCUAAUUUUUUAUACACAUAAUCAAUUAUGUGAGUAGUUGUAAUUCAAGCAUAAUUAAUUAUCCCUACUUUUUUUAUACACAUAAUUUAUUAAGUCAGUAGUGUAGUUCAAGCAUAAUCGAUUAUCCCUAUUUUUUAUACACAUAACUGAUUAUGUGAGUAGUGUAAUUCAAGCAUAAUUGAUUAUCCUCACUUUUUUAUACACAUAAUCGAUUAUAUGAGUAAUUGUAAUUCAAACAUAAUCGAUUAUCCCUACUUUUUUAUACACAUAAUCAAUUAUGUGUGUAGUUGUUCUUCAAGCAUAAUCGAUUAUGCACUAAAUUUUAGCAUGUGACAUGUUCCAUGCAUAAUGGAAAAUAAGGGAAAAUGGAAAAUGUUCAACAUCCUACGUGACUUUCCUUUCAAUUGGCUUUAAAAUUUGGUGUUGAUUGCAAAUCGUAUGUAGUGGAGUACACGAUUUUGAUUAAUAAAAUCUUUGAAUACUCUUGUGGGGGCAACCGUGAUUUGAUGAUUGGUGAAAUUGGUGGAGCUACAGUACGCAAAAGAAAAAAUGAAGGUGCAGAGAAAUUUAGCAAAUAAUGCAAUUUAAUUUUUAUGCUUUGAGAACUCGAAUCAUCAAUCUUUAGUUUUUUUUUUUAAGUUUUACUUUCCUUAAUCUUUAGGUGUUUAUUUUUAGUUUCACUUUCCUUGUAAAAAUGCUUUUACACAACGGUCUUUAAAGUCCUCAAACAAUGGUUUUAGAAUCAUAGUUUAUGAGCAUGUCGUCUAUAAAAUUUUGAAUUAUACACUAUAACUAAACAACCAUGGUUUAUAACACAACUAUAGGCAGAGUUAUUAACAAAAUUACUGCCUAUAUUGUAAGUGAAAUAAAAACGAAGAAGACCCAGAGGGUAUAGGUAGUAGUUAUGGACAAAACCGUCGCCAAUACCUUUUUUUGAGUCUUCUAUGCUUACCUACAUGGAGUCAUCAUAGAAUACGAUUAUAUCUAAAAUAGUAGUCUAUGAUCCUCUAUAGAUAGUGAUUUUAUCGAUAACCACUGCCUAUACCUUCAAGAUCACAAGCUGAAACACUUUAUUUCAACAACACACUAACUUCUAGAAACUCUAUCAAGAAGUACAAACACAAACACUUUUACAAAACAAAAAAGUUUAGGAAGCAAAACACCUUGAUUCCAGAUACAAGAGUUCGAACCAGGAACUCACAGCUGUAGCACUUGACAGAACCUUGAAUCUUAAGUCAAAGGCACCAACACAAGAACACUUGAAGUGUUUAAGAAAAACUAAAAAACUCACUUCAAAAUAUCAAUGAAAGCACUUGAAAAUUGUAUGCAACAAUAAGGUCAUCAAUGUAAACCAAUUUCUUAUUUCUUUCUGGACUUGGUUUUCGACUCGAUUGCUACAAAAUAAAUAAUAUUUUCAUUAAAUUAAUAUAAUACAUAAAUAUAAAUUAAUAAUUACAAAUUAAUUUCUUAUUGAGAGUUCAGGAAUAAGUCGAAAGAGGUGUCUAGGCCAGGCUAUGAAUGUCUGAAAUGCCUUAACAACAGUAGUGACCUCAUCAGUAGGCUGAGGAACAUGAUCAUCAUCAACUCGUACUUUCUCUACUGUGACCUUUACCACAUCAGAGGGCAAGCCACAUUAUGUAAGGUAGUGUCCCCUUCAAAGGCUUUCCCUAAGACCACCACUCGAGGAGUGAUUGAAUCCUCUACAAGUAACUCACAUUGGGUUAUCUCGCCAAUGUCUUUCCUUGAUCCAGUAGGAGCUGCACAACUCCCCUUUGUGUUCCUGAGAGUUGGAGCCACAAGCGGUUGGACAGGAGCCAUCUGUUGUGAUAUACUUAAGGUUUGAAGCUACUCUUGAAACUCUUGCCUUAACUACUGAGUCAACCGCUCAGUAACUUGUUGAGUUACCCUAUAAGUAACCUUGUCAGUCACGUCCUAUGUCACCUGUUCGGUGAUUUGCUGUCGUAAUUGACUUAUCACUUUUUGGCUAGGCUCAAAAGAGGAUGAAUGUCGUGUUGCAGUUCUGAAAAACUGGCAAAUGCCAACCCAUGUUCUUGCAGCACGCACACGGUCAGGGUGUUUAGGUCAGCCAAUAACUGCAACAAGUAUAUCCUCAUGACUUUGGGGAACAAAAUUACCUUGGGAGCUUUGCUCAACCAAGGAUUUCUACAAGGCUCCAAAAUUAUAUAAGUUUUUCAUAUAACUAAUACCAUAAAAUAUGACAACAAGAAAAUAACUUACAAAUUUUUCUAACACUAUUCGUGAUUUCUCAUAACUAUAUGCACCUGAUCUUUUGACACGUGCUUGCUUCCAAUUUCGGUGGCGGGUAGGUGGUGAUGGAGGUUAAAUGACCCCUAUAUCAUCCUCAUAAGUAAUUCUCGGUCGUGAUUUCUCCUUCUCCUUUAUCAUAGCUUCUUCAUGCUUACGAUAAACCCCAAAGACAGUAUGUGCGGGUGUUGAACCAAGUGGUGUUCAAGCUUUGAAGAAUCCAAAACCCUUUGAAGGAUGAUGAAGGCUGGUUGUGCUUGCUGUUGCUGAGUUGUCCUUUAGAUAGGAUAUGGGGUAGAUUUAAUAUGUAAUCCACUCUUGAUUGAAUCCAAAGCAUAAAAACACUCUUAAUCUUUUUAAAAGAAAAAUGUUUUUCAAGCUAAGUGAAAAAAAACCUGUUGUUUUGUCGAAACAACCGAAUGUUUUAUAUUUAGGUGUUUUUAGAAAAGGUUGAAAACUGUUUUUCAAAUGGUUGAGCUGUCAAAACCAAAACAACCGAUUGAUUCGAGGAAACAACCGAUUGUUUAUUUUGGUACCUUAACAAAAAAAUGGUUUGUGCUUUGACUGAGCAUUAAAUGAUUUUCUAACUGUUUACGCUCCAGUUUUUAAUGCUUUGACCAAUCUUUAAAUGCAAUUAAUAGUUUGUUAAGAUUUGAUAACAAACAACAUCUUUGUUUUACAAAUAGAAAAAUAGAUUUGAGUUUUUCAUAGAUUUUGAGAUUUUACAGAUUUUGAAAGAGUUAAGAUUGCUUAGAGAUUGAGAUUGAUCAAAGUGUGUGAGAUAGGAUUUUCUCUUGUAUUGAUUUCAGAUUCAUUCUGUAACAAGUGUAAUCCUUGUAUCUAUUGAAAGAAACCUUGUGUGUUUGCUGAGAAGUGUUGUGUGUUCUUGAGGGGAUCAAGAUCAGCAUUCUUAGUGUUGGUGUGUUGACCAAGAGGAGUGUGUGUCUUGAGGGGUUCAAGGUCACUUCUUUGGUUGUGGUGUAAGUGAUCUAGGUUUGAUUGCUUAGUGGAUUUCCUCAGUGGUUUAUGAGAAGACUGAAUGUAGCUCUGGGUUUAGAGUGAACCAGUAUAAACAUCUUUGUGUAUUCUCUCUAUCCUUAAUCUCUUUAAAUUCAGUUUUAAUAUUUGCAAACUGGUAUAAACAACUGAUUGUUUUUCUGGUGCUGUUGUUUUUACUUUGUGUUUUGGCAAACUGAAUUUCUUAUCAUUUGCUGCUCGAAGUAAUUUCAUUCUUGGCUUAAAAGUUUGCGAAAAUCCUCUUUAAACAAUUCACUCCCCUCUAGUUUAAAGCCAACCAUUCUAACAAUUGGUAUCAUAGCUUGGUUCUUGAAAGUUAUUCAAGUUGAUCCUAAAACUGUUUUUAAAUGACUGAUAGACUACCUUUUGGGGAAGGUGCUUCAAUCAACAGACCACCUCUGUUUUGUGGUUUGAACUACCUAUUUUGGAAAGUGAGAAUGGAAAUCUUUGUGGAAUCUCUUGAUAAAGGAAUUUGGGAUGCAAUUGAAAAUGGUCCUUUUGUCCCAAAGUUUGAAAAAGAUGGAUCUUCCAUUGAAAAGCCUUGGUCUCAAUGAAAUGAUUCUGAAAGCAAGAAGGCCAAAUUUGAUUGCAUUGCUAAAAACAUAAUAACCUCUGCUUUGAAUUCAGAUGAGUUUUUCAGGGUCUCUCAAUGCAAAUCUGCAAAAGAAAUGUGGGACACCUUGGAGGUAACUCAUGAAGGUACAAAUGAGGUGAAGAUAGCUAGGAAGCAUACUCUAAUCCAAGAGUAUGAGAUGUUCAGAAUGCUCAAAGGUGAAACAAUUGCUGAAGUGCAGAAAAGAUUCACGCACAUCAUCAAUCAUCUCAUGAACCUUGACAAGACCUUUGAAAAGGAAGAGUUAAACAUCAAGAUUUUGAAAUGUCUUGAUAGAGCAUGGCAACCUAAUGUAACUGCUAUAUCCGAAUCUAAAGAUCUAACAUCCUUGAAUAUGGCUUCUUUGUUUGGCAAGCUUAGAGAACAUGAGUUAGAAAUGAAUCUACUUAACGUUCAAGAAAGCGAAGACAAGCACGUAAGGAGUAUAGCCUUAAAAGCUUCCAAGCACAAAGGCAAACAAGAAAACCUUAGCUUGCUAUCCAGAAAAUUUAGCAAAUUCUUGAAGAGGAACCGCAACAAGGACAACAACAAAGAUAGGUAUGGAAAUAAGAAAUCUAAUGAUUUUAAUUCCAAUAACUCUACUUGUUUUGGUUGUGGUGAGCAAGGUCACAUAAAGGCAGAUUUCCCAAACAAAAGCAAGGAGAAAAAGCCUAACUACAAGGAAAAGAAGAGCAAGACAAAGAGAGCCUACAUAGCUUGGGAUGAGAAUGAGGUAUCAUCAUCAAGUGAAGAUGAGAAAACAAACAUCUGUUUGAUUGCUAAAGAUGAUGAUGAAUCUAGCAGCUCAAGUGAAGUAAGUUCUUGUGCUUCUUUAAAUGAACAGAAUUAUAGUGAAUUGCUUGAAGCUUUUCAAGAAACUCACGAUGAAGCUAAUCGAUUGGUGCUUUCAAACAACCGAUUGAAAGAACUUAACAGCUGGCUGGAAAAGAUAGUGAAAUCACUUGAAGAUGAGAUUGAAAAAUCUAAAAAUGAUUUCAAAAAUCUGGAAACACAUUUAAAAAAUUCUUCUUGCAAGUGUGACACUCUCAUUUGCAAAAAUUGUGAAAACCUUGAGAAAAAAGUGCAUUAUCUUGUUAAGAUUGUGGACAAGCUUUCGAAAGGGAAAUCUAACUUUGAGAAUGUCUUGGCAUCUCAAAGCUGUGUUUUUGGAAAUGCUAGUUUAGGCUUUAAUCCACAAAACAAACAAGAUAAGUUUUCAAAAAAAAAAUUCACGAAAGCCAGUAAAACAACCGAUUGUUAAGUCGAAACAACCGAUUGUUACAUGCUUUUAUUGCAUGAAAAAGGGCCAUUCGGUUAGAUUCUGCAAAAUAAGAAAGUUUUCUGUUCCCAGGGGCUUCAUGAAAUGGAUUCCUAAAGGAUGUGAGGUUCCAAAUGAGAAAAAGAAAUCAAUUGGACCCACAUUUGUGAAGGUGCCAAAUCUUGUUGCUUGAACUCAUGCUUGUGCAGGAAUUCUAAAGAAGUGUGAAGGACUGAGUCAUCUAAUCAAGUUCUUGGAAGAAAAAGACCAACAUUGAAGCUGAAUCAAUGUUCUGCAUCUGUCCAAAGACUCUCAACAGUUAAAUAAGGCUUCUUGAUCACAAAGCACAUGGCUCAUUGAAAUAAAAACAUAAAGGAUAAAACCUUCCUUAUCUCUGUUCUUAAUUCUUGUUUUUAAGUUCUUUUUCAUGAUUAAAUAUCUUCUUUAAAUUUUUUGAUUUCAUCUGCUUUGAACUCUUUCUGCUCAUAGUUAAAAAAUUCAAAAUCAGUUUUAAUUGCUGCAGAAAAGCAACCGAUUGUUUCCUCGAAACAACAGAUUGUUUUGAGUCUGACAGAACUGUGAAGAAAUCAAUUUAAUUUCUUUUUUGAAUUUCUAUCCAUUGCAGAUCAAAUUAAAGAAAGAAUCCUUGGUCAUUGAACCUGUGUUGAAAGCUGAUCACGCUCAGAAGGAAGUUACAACAGUAAUAAAAGAAUAUAUUCCACAAUCUUGAAAAUUUAAGAGCUUUUAUGACUAGUCAAAGAUAACAUGUGAAGACCAUGUGAUUUUCUGCUUUUUCUGACAUUUUCAGUGCAGGGCAUGGUCAAGUCUUCUCUCUCUGAAAAUCUGGUACCCACUCAUGUCAUUGAAUGAUUUUUUAUUCUAUUAUUGCUAUAAAAUUUGUUACAGCUGAUCUCUUCCACAAGAACAACGAAUUGCAACAUCUCUUGCAGUUCUUGGGUGAGCUUCUCUCUGUUUCUUCUCUACCAACAUGGACUCAACUCCUCCCAUCUCAAAGAGAGUCAAAUCCAGAUCAAUAAGGUUUGGAGGAAGGCUGGAAGGAUGGUUUUCUGAUGAUAAUGAUCUUAUUGAGAGGUAUAAAUUUGAGACUAGCACAAAAGUGAUAAACAACCCCAAGGUUUUUUGCUUUGAUUGGCUGAAAAGCCAAAAGCUGGACAAUGUCAGAAGGUUCCUCAAAGAUCAAUCCCUCAGAAAGUUCUUGGAGAUGAAGGGCAAUAUCUACCCAGAUUUGAUAAGAGUUUUCUACACAAAUCUCAAGUUUGAGGGAAACAACCUUGUUUCUCAUGUAAAAGGUGUAGAUAUGGAGAUCACAUAUGAUGUGUGGACUGCAGUAGCUGGUCUUAAGUACUCUGGCCUCAGAAUCAACAAGGGGAACCUUGGAGUAGUGGAGGAUUUCAACAAAGUCCAAUACUACAAGAGCUGCUUGAAGAACCAAAAUGCUCAAGUUAGGACUUGUUCGGUUGGUGGCUUAAGGCUUGAUGAAAGGUUGCUAGCCCUCAUUGUGACUUGGAUUCUAACUCCAAGGGGGAGCAAUCAUUUUGUUCUUACAGAGGAGGACCUGAUGUACAUCUUCUGCAUUAUGAAGAAGAUCAUAAUAAAUUGGAUCCACAUCAUCAAAGAGCACAUGCAAAAGGCAAUGAGGUUAAGUGACUAUCACUAUCCAUAUGCUGUUUUGGUUUCUAAUUUUCUACUCUAUUUUGAAGUGAACCUAGAGGAUGAAACAUCUGAAUUGGUCAAGUUAACUCAAGAGUUGAACAAUGAAUCUCUCAGUAAAAUGGGAUUCACCAAAGUAGGUGGCAAAUGGAUUAGCAAAGAUGGUGAUCUUGGUGCCUCAUCAAGUGUUGUUGCUGAUCUUGAAGAAGGUGAACAUGCUGAUGAUAUGGAUUUUCAACAUGAAGAUCAACCUGAAGCAAAUCAAGAUGCUGGACCAAGUGCUGAUGCUGGAAGUCAAGAAGAAAGAAUGCAAACCAUGUCUCCUUUUGAGAGACUCAUGGUUAAUAGGCUUGAUAGCUUUGCGGAGAACCAAAGGAAUCUCCAUGAUCUAUGUGUCAACAAUUUCCAGAGGAUUGAUAACAGGUUUGACGGCAUGGAUGCACGCUUCAUGACCUUAGAUGAACAGAUUGAGGCAGUUCAGAACCAGAUCUUUGAUCUUCAAUACGCUGAUGAUGAGUGAAGAGGAAAAACAACCGGUUGAUGUAUCGAAACAACCGAUUGUUUUUUUGAUGGUUGUAUUAGUUUCUCUUAUUUUCUAUUUCUGCCUUUUAAAUUUGAUGUAUUAAGAACAAUUAUCUUUUUCAUCUCUUCUUUUUGUUUAUUUGUGAAGACAAAUAGGGGGAGAUUUAUGCUGUGUUUGUGUUUGGUUUUAGUUAUUUUCUGCAAAACAGUUUGUAUGGGUGAAACCUUAUAGGUUUUUGCUCUUUUAUUGUUUUUGUUUUUGCUCUAAUUUUAUGCUCUGAAUUUCUGUUUUUGUUUCUGUGCUAACCAAAUAUCAGAAGUUCUAUGCUUUGCUUAAAAUUGUGUCUUGCAGGAACUGCUUCAGAUUCAAUCUGGUAUAACACAAGCAUCAGGGAUUUGUCUUCAUCAAAAUAGGGGGAGAUUGUUGAACCAAGUGGUGUUCAAGCUUUGAAGAAUCCAAAAUCCUUUGAAGGAUGAUGAAGGCUGGUUGUGCUUGCUGUUGCUGAGUUGUCCUUUAGAUAGUAUCUGGGGUAGAUUUAAUAUGUAAUCCACUCUUGAUUGAAUCCAAAGCAUAAGCACUCUCAAUCUUUUUAAAAGAAAAGUGUUUUUCAAGCUAAGUGAAAAACGACCUGUUGUUUUGUCGAAACAACCGAUUCUUUUAUACUUAGGUGUUUUUAGAAAAGGUUGAAAACUGUUUUUCAAAUGGUUGAUUUGUCAAAACCAAAACAACCGAUUGAUUUGAGGAAACAACCGAUUGUUUGUUUUGGUACCAUAACAGAAAAAUGGUUUGUGCUUUGACUGAGCAUUAAAUGAUUUUCUAACUGUUUACGCUCCAGUUUUUAAUGCUUUGACCAAUCUUUAAAUGCAAUUAAUAGUUUGUUAAGAUUUGAUAAACAAACAACAUCUUUGUUUUACAAAUAGAAAAAUAGAUUUGAGUUUUUCAUAGAUUUUGAGAUUUUACAGANNNNNNNNNNNNNNNNNNNNNNNNNNNNNNNNNNNNNNNNNNNNNNNNNNNNNNNNNNNNNNNNNNNNNNNNNNNNNNNNNNNNNNNNNNNNNNNNNNNNAGAUUCAUUCUGUAACAAGUGUAAUCCUUGUAUCUAUUGAAAGAAACCUUGUGUGUUUGCUGAGAAGUGUUGUGUGUUCUUGAGGGGAUCAAGAUCAGCAUUCUUAGUGUUUGUGUGUUGACCAAGAGGAGUGUGUGUCUUGAGGGGAUCAAGGUCACUUCUUUGGUUGUGGUGUAAGUGAUCUAGGUUUGAUUGCUUAGUGGAUUUCCUCAGUGGUUUCUGAGAAGACUGGAUGUAGCUCUGGGUUUAGAGUGAACCAGUAUAAACAUAUGUGUGCAUUAUCUCUAUCCUUAAUCUCUUUAAAUUCAGUUUUAAUAUUGCAAACUGGUAUAAACAACCGAUUGUUUCUGCGAAACAACCGAUUGUUUUUCUGGUACUGUUGUUUUUGCUUUGUGUUUUGGCAAACUGAAUUUCUUAUCAUUUGCUUCUCGAAGUAAUUUCAUUCUUGGCUUAAAAGUUUGCGAAAACUCUCUUUAAACAAUUCACUCCCCCUCUAGUUUAAAGCCAACCAUUAUAACAGCGGGGUCACAGUAUGACUGCUAUGUCCUGAGCAUUUUUCCAAACACCUUGUGACAAAUGGAACAAACAAAUUGAAUUAGAUAAUAAUAAAUAAUUUCAACUAUGAGCAAUAUAUAAAAUGAAUAACUAAUUUUACUUAUCAUCCAUUGGUCAGCUUCACAACUUUCAAUAAAUAUACAUCUAAUCAAGAUUAACAUACUUUGGACAAUGAUUUUUACCUUUAUAAGGUCCAAAAACAUAUUUCAAUGUCAGCUUUGACUUAAACUGAAAAUUUUUUAUGGCAACCAAAGAUAAAACCUUUGAUAUGAAGGUCUCCACAUUAGAGAUAUCAAAAUGUGCCUACCAGAAAAUACCAUGAAGUUUUAUUUCAUGAAUUAAUAUAAAAAAUAAAUAUAUGAUAACAAUAAUAAUGUAUACAUUACCAAUAUAUCCUCUUAUAUCAUGGUCUGGUCGACCUCGGGCACAUGAUCCCAGAAAGGUAUUAAGAUGGGGAUCUUCUCACGUGCCAAGACUCUAAGAUUGUUCUUCAACAUAUCAACAUUAAGACCAAAUUCCAUACUAGUAAUCAUGUCUAUAGUGAGUGGUGUCGUGUCACUACUAGCACGUUUUAAUAUGUAACAUAAGAAAUGUUUUCAAUUUGAGUACUUUCUAUUUGAGAAAAUUCAAUUUUCAUGUAUAUUAAAUUCUUUUAAGUGAAAUCAAUUGGUUGUUUCGAUUUUUUAACGGGUUGAUUUUACUUAAUUGCACCCUGUUGUUAAAAACUGUUUAUGAUAAAUCUCUAUAAAAGGGUAUGCUUUAUUUUAGAAAAAAAAAUUCUCAUACAACUUACAUUUUUAUAUCUGUGAGAGCCUUUGUAUGAAAUUUUUUUUUGAAAGAAAUAAUCUUAGAAAGAUCUUUGAGUUUUCUUGAAGCUAAAUCUUCAUCAUCUAGAUAAAGUUCAAAGAUAUUUUAUUGCAACUGUGAAUUGGAGAAAUCCUGUUGUAUUUCUCGAUUCACGGUAAAAGUUUAUUCGCUCCCUUAGAUACUAUUUUGUAUUUUUGUAAUUGUUGGGGCCAGGAUAGGUUUUCUUGGUGUGUAUCACUGCUGUGACAGGGUGUUAGAGUGAGUAGUUUUGUUCUUAUAGUGUUCAAGAACUAUUUUUGUAUUUCUUGUAAAAGAAUUGUGUUGUUUUAGUGAAAUCCACUUUGAUGUGAGGUGAGACUGGAGUAGCUCUGUUCUGAGUGAACCCAUAUAAAAACUUUUUUUUAUUAUGUUUUCUUUAUCAUUGCUUUAUAUUUUUUCUGCAUAAUAUUUUGUACUGGUAUAAUCAUUUGGUUGUUUGUAAAAAUCAAUAUGUGGUUUUUUGUUCUCUAUAGACUAAUUUGAUUCUUUGUAAUAACUAAAACAAUUGUGAUAAGCAAUAUUGAGUUUUACAUUGAAUAUUAAUAUAUUCUGUAUCAAUUUGUAUUUGUUACUGAUUAAACAAGAUAAAAAGAAUUAUGGAAAGUGGAAACUGUUUACAAAAUCUAAACUGCAAUAUUUUCCCAAGAUCCUUGGAGCAGAAAAGCCUUAUAAAAGGACACAAGCAUCAAGUAGAAAGGGAGAGAGCUUCAUAGGGUUUUCUUAGUUUAUUUUCUUCUUAGUAAUUCUUUUGUUUUGCAGAAGAUUUGCUUCCAAUUCUGUUUCUGGAAUCUUGUAGCUUUUAUUUUCUCUUUCUUCUCCAACAGAAUUUGUUUUCUGUUUUGAUUCAAAGAAGCAACUUGGACUUUUGCAUAUUUGGCCCAUUCACAAAGGUAGAUGCUUCAGAUCAUUUACCCUAAAAACAUAAAAUUAACAAUAAUAAUAGUUAAGGCCUAAAUAAACCCAAUUAUAAGAAUAUUAAUUAAAACAAUGGAUUCAUUAAUUAUUAUAGUCCAAUAAUCUAUGAUUAAGGCUAUUAAGUGUGAAUAAAUAUAUGCUCAUCACUGAUUAAACAAGAUAAAUUGAAACAAAGGUUUUCUUAAAAACAUUGUUUGAUAUAUCUGAAUUUUGCACAUAUCAUGUAAUCUGUAAAAAUAUCUUUUAUGUAAUUCUUAAUUAGAAAAAAAAAUCAGUUAAUUCCAAAAAUAAUCAAUUGAAAUUAAUUUAGAAAUUUGUUUCUUUGAAAUAGAUUUAAAUCUUUUUAAACAAAAUUUAUGAUUUACAAUAUUGUGUUUUAAGAUCUGUGUAUUAAAGAUUUUAAUCAAUUGUUUUUAAUAAAACAAAUUCAUUAUUUUAUCUAUGUACUUCAACUAUAAAAUCAAUAUGUUGUUUUAAAGAACAAUUUGUUAAAGUUUUGUUUGAAUUGUUGUAAACAAUUAUUUGCGAAAAUCUUUUUAUGUAAUCCUGGUGAACUCAAUGGAGUUUGAGACAAGAACCAUUAACAUGCAACCUUUAUUCAAAGGAGAAAAGUAUAAACUGUGGAAAGUGAAAAUGAUUGAUUUCUUGAAAUACAUGGAUGAAGAUAUGUCAAUUAUUAUUGAAGAAGGUAUUUCUUCUCUACUUAGCGACAAUGGAGAAUUUUGGAAUGAACAUGAAAAGAACAAAUAUGAACUCAAUACCAAAGCUAGGCAUAUUCUUAUGUGUGUAUUGUCUAAAGAAAAACUAUCCAAUGUUAUUGCCUUAAGUGUCAAAGAAAUGUGGGAGACUAUUUCUCUAUCUCAUUGAGAAUCAAAAGGAGAUUCAAACGUGUCUAACUCCAAGACUAAUCUCAUUUGCUUCAUGGAAGACACCACAGACAACCUAACAUCAAAAGAAUCUGAUGAGGCGAUACAUGAUAAUACUAUCGCAAAUUCCUUUGAAAACUUCGUCGUUGAUAACUAAAUGAAGAGAUAAAUUUCCUUGACUUAUGCUUUAAUGGACUCCUUUUUCUUUCAUUGUUUUGUUUCUUGACUUUUGAUAGAGAUUGGAGUGGAGGAAGGUUGCAGAAACAUAGAUGAAUUCAAUGGUAAGUUGGGUGUGAUCAAUCUUAAAGGAGAAAACAAUAUAUACAAGCUUAAGUUGGCUUAAAUUUUUACUUAUGGUAAUUUGAAUUUGUCUCAGGUUACGAGAGCAUAUUUUCUAAAGAAAUAUAAUCAAAGUGUUGCUCUUUAUAAAUCUUCGUCUAUUUGACUUGACAUUAAUGAUUAUCAUGAUUGUGUUUUUCAAAAUUUUAAAUGAAUCAUUGGUAAUGUAUAAUUUGGUAAUUUCUAGAAUGAUGCUUGACUUUUUGAUAUUUCUAUGCCUUAGCAUAUUAGCAUUCCAAAAACCCUUAGAUGUUAGUGUAGGUCUAAGGUUUAUGAUGUUUGGAAUGGCAUUGGUUGGUACAUACCAAAUUCUUUAAGAAAUAUUAAAGAUAUAUUAACAACAUCAAUUUUAUAGUUAUUAUUAAUUAGGUUGAGGAACCUGUUUGGAUGAUGAAUGAUUCUAUUUUACUCAAUAUGAAGUCUGCUUCUACCAUUAUUCAUACCAAUUCUAUUUCUCAUUAUUGAGGGAAAAUUAUUUGGUAUAAAUCUCUCAUAAGCUAAAUCCUUAGGUUUUUUGGAAUUUGUUGCAUAAUUAUUUAUUAUUUAAUGAACAUUUUCAUAUGGCAUUAGUUUAUCUUCCAAAUCCAGUUUAUUCAAUCAUCACGAGGCAAGUUUGAUUCAUCUCUUCUAUGAAUGCAUUUUUUGCUAUGAAUGUUUGGGCUGGUUAAAUAAUGUUUUUCCUUAUUUGUCUUGGUCUUCUGUUAAUGAUAUUUUGUCUUUCUUGUCUGAAAGAACUAGCCAUAUUAUUUAUACAUUAGGUUUCUUGCUACCACCUUCGUUCUUUCAAUCAUUUGGAAAAGCUAGAAAUCAUAUGAGAUUUGAAAAAUCUAUCAUUUUUCAGUCGACACUUCAUUUGGUCCUGUGAAAUAUUCAGAUGGCAAGUGAAAAAUCUUUUAAAUCUGUGCAUAAUGAUAUAAUUGACCUUUGCAUUUUGAAGUUUUUCAAUGUUGAGACUAAAAAUUUCGGUAUGAGAGUUUGAAAGGUAGAUUGGUCCAUGUCUAGAGUUAUCUGGUAAAGGUUGUGUUGACGGUGGUGCAAAAGGUUUUCUCGGUCACGUUAUGAGUGAUGGUACCUUUAGAGGUAGUAGAGGAUAGUUGAUUAGAGGAUUUAUGUUCUAUCAAGGCGUGAAGCCCUCUAUUGAUGUUGAGUUUAUGGUUGUCAUCGUCGUAAUAAAGAUCUCUAUAGUUAAAAACUAUAGAUGAGUCUGGCUUGAAUGUGACUCCUCUUUAGUUUGACAUGCUUUUCGAAAUUUUCGUAUUGUUCCGGGAAGGUUGAAAGCUCAUUGGUAAAAAACUUUUAACACUUCUUAAGCUAUGAGUUUUAAAGUCUCCCAUAUAUCUUUCAAUGGAGUAAAUAUUUUCAAAAAAUUUAAAUAUUUUUAAGUUUAAAACUAAAUUGAAGGCUAUAUAAACCCAUCAAGCCUCUUUUGCAUUUUCUAUUUUCAUAUUCAAAAUAUCAUAAGUAGUUUCGUUCCAGGAACCACGAAAUCAACCAAUUAGUAUUGUUUUUCAAUGGCUUCUACACCGUUGGCGCUCUCAAAUUCGUAAGUAUAUAUAUAAUUAUUGUUUUUUGUUUCUUAUAAUAAUUGGCAAAACCAUUCCAUGAACAACGAUUUUCAAUUUUCUGUUUUGUCGACAUUUUUUUAUGUACUUGUUGUCUAAUUAAUUAUUAUAUUUUUUUCUUUUUGUUUAUAAUAUCAAAUGAGAGUGAUGCAAUAUGUGAGACUUUCAAAAGCUUUCUCAAAGAGAAAGUGGCCAAUUUUUGUUGUCCUUGAUUGUUGUAGUUGUACUUAGUUUUUGUUAAACACAUGUUGGAAUGAUAAGUUUAAAAAGUCAUAGUUUAUCGUUUGAAACAAACAGAAAGGAACAAGGAGAACUACCUGUUUUGUUUUGUUAGCAGUUUUCCCUGUUGGGUUGUUUUGACAGUAUGUGCUUAUUAGAUUUCUGGUUUGGUUGCCUUUCAGUUUAUAGAUCUCCUAUGGUUGGAAAAUGACCCCAAUGCAUCACUCAGGCAAAAUAAAUGCAUUCAUGGAUUCUUGGGAUCAAUUGAGAAAGAUGGUUGUAAUGUCUUCAUUGGUUGGGUGAAAAGUAAUCAGAUAAAACAAGUAAGUCUUUCCUUUGAAAUUGGUUAUAUGUUAUCGUAGAAAUAAAAAGAAAAAAUAACAAAUAAAGUCUCGGUAGUGUAUAGUUUGUCUUGCCUAGGAAAAUUUUCUUAUUGAAGUUAUUAGGUAAAAAAAAAAUUAAAAACUAUAAUCUUAGAAUUUUAUUUUAUUUUAUCAACAAAUAUUUUAAACAUUGAAUAGUCUAUAACUUCUAUAACUAUAUAUAAAGGGGAUUCUCCCCUUAACUGUUUUUCUUUUUUCAUAAAUUACUUCUCCAUUUUACCCUCAUUUCAAUAUAUAUUUUAUUAUUUUAUUUUUGAUAUUUCAGUCAUUUUGUCAUUUUUCUGAGCAGUUACUAAAUAUACUACAAUUUUUAUGAAAGACAGAGGAAUUACAAAAACUCUAGGUUGUAGUUUGCUUCAAAUGGGAAAUAGAGUUUACACUUUUGUUGUUCGAGACAAAAAUAACAUGGAGAGUGAUAAAAUCUAUGACUUUUUUGGACGAGUUAAAUGAGAAAAUGAAAUUGGCUGGAUAUAAGCCCGACAUUGAUUAUGUUCUGCAAGAUGUUGACCGUGGAUAUCCCCCAUAUUCGUUUUCCUUGGCAAUAGAAAGCAAGAGAAGCCUUAAAACAAACACAGCCUUAGUUAAUUUGGUGGCAUUGUCACUUGCAAGCAUGGAAAAGUGAUUUGAGAGAAAUUCCAUUCAAGUUGGACCCGCGUCUUUGAAUCCUCUUAUCACAUGCAACAUGCAGUAGCAUUUUGGAAAUUGGGAAUUGAAAAUUGACUCGUAAUUUGCAUUGUUCAACUGCCUUUAAAAUUUGGUGUUGAUUGCAAAUUGCAUGUAAUGAAGUACACGAUUUUGAUUAAUAAAAGCUUUGAAUACUCUUGUGGGGACAACCGUGAUUUGAUGAUUGGUUAAAUUGGUGGAGCUACAGUACACAAAAGCAAAAACAAAGGUGCAGAGAAAUUUAGCAAAUAAUGCAAUUUAAUUUUUAUGCUUUGAGAACUCGAAUACAUCAAUCUUUGUCAAUCUUUAGGUGUUUUUUUUAGUUUUACUUUCCUUAAUCUUUGUGUGUUUUGUUUUUUAGUUUUACUUUCCUCACUAUUGUAAAAAUGCUUUUACACAAAAGUUUUUAAAGUCCUCAAACAGUGGUUUUAGAAUCAUAGUUUAUGAGCAUGUCGUCUAUAAAAUUUUGAAUUAUAGACUACAACUAAACAACCAUGGUCUAUAACACAACUAUAGACAGAGUUAUUAACAGAAUCGUUGUUUAUAUUGUAAGUGAAAUAAAAACGAAGAAGACUCAGAGGAGGGUAUAGGGAGCAGUUAUGGACAAAAUCAUAGCCAAUACCCUUUUUCGAAUCUUCUAUGUUUACCUACAUGGAGUCAUCAUAGACUACAAUUAUAUCUAAAAUCAUAGUCAAUGAUCCACUGUAGAUAAUGAUCCUGUCCAUAACCACUGUCUAUACCUUCAAGAUCAAAAGCUGAAAUCCUCUAUUUCAACAACACACUAACUUCUAGAAACUCUAUCAAGAACUACAAACACAAACACUUUUACAAAAAGGAAAAGUUUAAAAAGGAAAAUACCUUGAUUGUAGAUACAAGAGUUCGAACCAAGACCCUCACAACUGCAGCAUUUGAAAACUGCUAGAUUUUUCUUUUGCUAGUUCCAACUUGCAAAACUCUUCCCAACUUCAUAAUCUUCAUGUAGAGUGGAUGAUAUUUUCAUAGUGCCUCUAAACCAAAAUCUUGUAUUCAAUCAAUUCCAUUUCAUCUACAAGCAUCAUACUCAUGCUCUGAUCUAUAUAUAUACAUCCACGGAACUAGAAUAAGGGGAAUAGGUCAUUAGAUUUUUCCCUUUAAAGUUUGGCAAUUCAUAGUAGCAUUUAACAUUGAAUUAUACAUAUUCAACAUGUAACAUAUCCAAAACAGAUCUUUGUAGAAAGGGGGAAACGUUGCAAAAGUAAUUAUUUAUUUCAUCUACAACUUAAUUCAGUUUUCAAGUCAUUAAUGUUGAAGAUGGUUGCUGCCCCUUCAAGAUUGUGUUUGAUGUUGACUUAUGUGUAGUGUUUGAUGAAGACUUAUAUGUACAUUUCAUUUGUAUUUUGCUUUGCUUUAAGUAUGUCUUAGGUAGUGCUUAGAGGUUGUCUAAGAGUGGGCUUUUUGCUGAGUAACUCACCUCAUAACCACUGGCCAUGUGAUAAGAACAAGCAUAAGUUUUCUUAAACUGUUUUUCACAUGUUUUACACAAAAACACAUUUACUGCAUAAAAAUAAAUAUGUUAUUUUCUAAAUAAACAGAUUCAUUUUUUUCACUGAUGCCUUGGCUAAGUCUUGUAAAAAUUAGUUUUUGUGCAUCAGGUAUUUUGACUAAGUCUUCUUCUUUUCAAAACGACUGAGUUUUAAAUUGUUAAACUUUCUCUGUUUUCGUUUUGAAAAAUAAAUCUGUUCAUCUGUAAAUGAAUAGAUUCUUUUUGUCUCUGGUGCCAUGUCAAGCUUAAACGUUUUUCAGUUUUAUCUCAGCACCAGAAUGGUUGACUAAGUCUCCUCACUUAACAAAUUCUCUAACUGCUUUUGAAAAUAAAUCUGUUCAUUUUAUUUUCAAUCUGUUCAUUUUAUAACAGCUUUAACUGUUUUUCAAAAAUCUGUUAUAAGUUGGCUUUCUAUAAAAUGAAAACUUGUUUCUGAGAUUAAUAACAGUUCAUACAUUUGCAAAAACAAGUUUUGACAGCAGAGAGUUAAGUGUUUACAAAGGAUUAGCAUUUGUUCUUCAAAGAUUUCAAAAAUCACAAAGUGCUUGUUCUUGGUUUGGUUCCAAAAGCUUGGUGUGAGGUGCAGCUACUGUUCUAGCAAUCUUGCCUACUGUUUUAAGGCAGAUCUGUGUAUCCUCAAUCAGGUGUAGUCGUUUCACAUCUCAUUUCUUGUAAUAGUUUGGUUGAACACUCUUCUUGAUAGGUGUUCUUGAAGAGUGGGUGUGUGUGUAUGCUGAAAUAGGUUUUUUCAGCAAGAGUACCUAAGUUCUUGUAGGUUUCAAGAACCGUGGGAAUUGUACUUGGUUGUACUGUGUGUUAGUGAUUUCCACCUGUUGUUGGUGAAGACUGGAUGUAGCUCAGUUGAGUGAACCAGUAUAAUUGCUUGUGUUCAUUCUCUCUCACUCUCUGCAAUUUCGUUUCUGCAUAAUUGAUAAAACAGCAAAGAAAUAAAUCUGUUCAAUUGAAAAUAAAUCUGUUCUUUUUGGGCACUGUGCAUACUGUUCUUGAUUUCUGAAAAAGUUGUUUAAAUCUCAUAAGAACAUAUAUAAUCUGCUAAAAGCCAUUGGAACAGAUUGACUGUGAUAGGUUGCACAAGAAACUGUCAAUGCUAUUAAUUGAACCUUAAACAAUUGCUUAAAGUUGAAGCUUGCUAUUCUGUGAUUCAUUGUUCUUAAUUUCUGGAAAAUUGUUUGACAUCAAGAAGAACACUCAUAGUCUGUUAAAAGCCACUGGAACAGGUUGUUUGCAAAGGUCACUCAAUUAACUAGCAUGCUAUCAAUUGAACCUUAAUCACUUGCUUGAAACUGAAGUUGGCUGUUUUGGUGUUUCACUGUUUUUCAAUCUGAUAUCUGUGUGUGUACAUCUGGAAAAAUUAUCUGCAUAGUCUUGUGAUUAACCUUGCUGUAUUAAAAGCGUUUCAAACAAAAAACAGUGCUGAAAUAAAUCUGUUCAUUUUCACAUAAAUCGAUUUAUUUUCUGUAAAACUGGGUUAAACAUUGUUUCUGCGAGAAAGUUUUAAAAGGUCAAUUCACCCCCCCUCUUGAACUUUGGCACUGUUAAACCCAACAAGUAAUCCAUUUCAUCACUUUCCUGAAAUCAACAUUAGUAUUUACGCCUAUUCAAUCAACCUCAUGAAAAGCAUUGCAUGUCUUAUCAAGUCGUUCUGCUUCACCAUUACCAAUUAAAUCAUCGUAACUACUUCUGACUAAUGUGUGUCUCCGCUUCAAAUCUUCCUUCGAUGUGAGAAAACAUACUUAGAUAAGCACUCAUUCUGUUUUCCUUAAGAGCAUGAGAAAACAUACUUAGUUACACAUUUGAUUGCUUCUUGAAUCUUCUUACUUUUAACAACAUAAUAUGUAGAAACCAUACCUUUUUUCUUUUCAAAGGCAGCAACGAAAUUAGAGCGGGGUAUGUAGGUGAGCCCCUCAGUUUAAACCCGCAUCCGUAAUAAUCCACAUUAAAAAAACCUUUAUUUGUCUUUUCUUUGUAGAACCUAUAGUUCUCAUAGGCUUCCAAGCGAAUCUCAUCAAGCUUUGUGAGCUUAAGCUUCAUUUACUCUCCCGCUUGGUUAAAGGCUAAGUUACAAGUUCUAACUACCCAAUACGCUCAAUCUCCAUAUGUAAGUGGUACGCUUUGUAAGCAAACAAUAUAAAGGGAGAUAUCCCAAGAGGUGCUUUAUAGAUGGUCUUAUAAGCCCAAAGAGCAUCAUUAAGGCGGUGACUCAAAUUCUUCCAAUUGGAUCACACCAUCUUCUCCAUAAUUCGCUUGAUCUCUCUAUUAGAGAGCUCUACUCAUCCAUUAGUCCGAGGGUGAGUGUAGAAACUUGAUGCACCACCCUAUACUUCAAAAAUGCCUCCAUGGAGUGAUUACAAAAGUGAGUCCCUUAAUAACUAAUGAUUGUUUGAUCACGGGCAAAAAAAUAUGAGACUUAACAAAAUUCACUACUCGAGCAUCAUUUUUGUAGCUAUAACCUCUAAAUAUAUUUAUAUAUAAGAUAGAGAGCCAAAUGAGCUCUAUACACAUAAUAAUCAAGAUGCAAUGCAAGUCUCACAUUGUUCUUUAAUUUUUUAAGUGUUUAUAAGUUCCAAUGUUCCUUCACUUGUUGUUUGGCCAUGUACUGCAGGUGUGUAGUGGCCGUGUUGCACUCUCCAUGCCUUUCCAAUUAAGGUUUUUGUUAGAAUGUAUGGCCCAAUCAAGUCUAUUAAGAUCGCAUUAAGGUAUUAUUUGAUUUGAAACUCGAAAUUUCAUUAUGAUUUUAUCCUUAAAAGUCGUCUUAAAGGAUUAAAAGAAUCUAUAUUUAAAUUAUCCACGACCUUUGACUUCUAGGCGACGUGAGACUAUUAGGCGUAUCAGAAUAACCCUCUCAAUCGAAGACUAAAGGAGAACAAUAGUUUGUCUUUGGAACCACUUUUCUAUUCUCAAAAGCGACACCAAAUUUGUUGACAUAACAUAAUUAAGAUUAAUUAUUGUCUCUGAUAUAUUGUCUAUUUAAAAAGUGUCUCAAAUGAUUAAGAUAAAUAUAUAUAUUUAAAUUGUCUUUUGAUCUUAACUUUUAAAUAAUGUUAAACUAUUAAACUCUCCGACCAACAAUAAAAUAAUUUAGUUUAUUAAAAUAUUUCAAAAAAUUUGAACUAACUAUUUUAAAGCAGUUGAUACAAGGAUGAAAAUUAACUAAACUAAUUUUCAUAAUUUUAUAAACUUAUCAUAAAUUUUAAAUUUCUUUCGAAAAACUAAAUAAAAAAUUAUGCUUAUUUUUUUUUUCUUUAUUUCCAAUAUUAAUUACUUCAAAGUUUUAUAAAUUAAAAUGAAGAAAAAAAUCCCUCUCACUAAUUUCAUAAAUCGACACUCUUAACAUUUCAAGACCUUCAUUUUAAAUUUACAUUUCUGUCGGAAUCACAUAACUCUAUGUCCUUAAGCCUUGGCUUCUCCCUUUAAAAGUCUUGUGGGCUUCUCAUCUCCAUUUCGUUUGCGUCUAUCUCAUCUUCACGCAUAACGCAUGCCACCAUCAUCGGGGCGGGAAAACAUGGACUAAAAGAACGUUACGUCAGAGAAGAAGAACCCUUUAUGUCGGCGAGGGAGAGGCCAACGAAGGAGCGCAGAGGACAACGGUUUCACAAUUUCCAAGGCAUACUUUACAAAUUAAUUGGUUAUAUAAUUACUCAUUUUCUGGAUUGGUUAAAGUAUAGAUUUUGUGUUUUAAAGAUUGUGUUUUGGGGUUUCUUGUAGAAGUAUGGAACAUGGAAAGUUGUCAUAAAAAUAAAACACAAUCAUAUUCACAUAAACAUAAUUUAAAAAAUAAGAUUUAUUUAUAGAGGGGCAAUACCAGCUGGCCCGCUGCACACAGGCCCACCCCACGUUUGACCCACAAACCCCGCACAAGGAAUGCGAGUUCAUUUUACGUUUGACCCACAUAAAAGGUAGUCUGCGGGUUUACGGGCCAACCCACAUAAGGAAAUUAUUUUUUAAAACAAAUUAAAAUUUCGUUAAUUAUAAAAAUAACCUAUUUCUCUGGUUGAAAAUUUAAAAUUUUAUCCAUGUUUCAAUUCAUUCAAUUAAGAUAAAAAUAUGAAUUCAAAUAUGAGGGUUCUUAGAAGGCUUGAUUAAAAAUAAUUAAAGUUUUGUUUUACAUCUAUUUUUCCUAUAUAUAAUGUAAAUGUAUAAAAAAAUCUUAUCAAAAUUUUGCUAUAAAAUAUUUUAAUGAAGAUGACUAAUUUUUUAAAGAGUAUAUUAUUGAAAUCUCUUCUUUAUAUUAUUUUUUUUAUUAAAAAAUUUAAAUAUAAGAUCUUCCUUAUAACUAGAUCCACUUUCACUCCUAAUAUUACUUCCUUUAGAUGAUUAAAAUAAAACAUUCUAUUAUUUAGUACAUUAAAUUUAAUUUUUUAAAAUAAAAUAUAAUAAAAGUCACACUACCAUGAUAAGUGAGUGGGGUAUGAUUUUUUUUUCUUCAGAAAAAAUAAAAUAUUUAUUUAUGCGGAUCAGCGGACCAACUCACCCCAGUCCGUGCGGGAUGUAAGUUAUGCGUGAUGGGUCAGCGAGAUAGACUAGUGCGUCCGUUUUGCGCUUUUUGGUGGCAGGUUGCGAACUACCCGCAUGGCCCGCUCGCAUUGUCAUCCCUAUUUAUUUAUUUGUCAAUUUUACUUGUUUGUAAUUAAAACAUCAUUAAAAUCCAGAUUGCGUUAAAAAUAAAAUUUGAAUAAUUGUAAAAAAUGUUAGGUGAAAAAUUAUCAAUAUAAUUUUCUAAAAUAUAAUUAUUAAAUUAAUUUGUAUUGAAUUUAAAUAAUAUUAUUAAUUGUAAGAACACCCAACAGUUAGUAACCAUACCCUAAUACCUACUAACCACACCACCUGCAGCUACUACCACAUUCCAACAACAACUAAACACACCAUCAAAGAGGCAAAGAGAACAACAACUACAACACAUAGUCGAUUAUCAAAGCGGAAUAAUCGAUUAUCUUUAAUUUUUUAUACACUAACACUUGAAUAUUUUAAGGAGACCCUAAUUAAUUAGAAUUAUCCCUACUUUUUUUAUACACAUAAUUUAUUAAGUCAGUAGUGUAGUUCAAGCAUAAUCGAUUAUCCCUAUUUUAACAAGAAGAAAUUACCUUUUCAAAAUAAAAAAAAAAAGGAGCUUAAUAAUUGAAGAAUGUUAGAAACCAUUUAAAUUUAUCCGAUCCGUGAGGGCUGAAUCCGAAUACAAAAAAUUGGCUGCAUUUGCUCUGAUGAAGUGUGUAGUUGUAGUAUUUGCUCUGUUUUGCUACCUAUGUUCAGUAUUCACACUCAUAAAACACUCAAUCCUCCUCCUUGUGGAAGCAGCCACCUUCAAAAAGAGGUGGCUCCGUCUGUGCCCACUAACCUCCCAUCUCACUUGGGUCACAGACUCGUCAAUGCAGCUUUGAAUGUCGGUGAUUUCAGGCGUGCCCAACAACUGUUUGAUAAUAUUCCUCAACCAGACCCGACCACUUGUUAUACAUUAAUUUCUGCUCUCACUACUUGUGGACUUCCACAUGAGGCCAUAUAUGCUUCGCUUUGGGCACGUGGGAUCAAACCCCAGAACUCGGUGUUUCUUGCUGUUGCCAAGGCCUCUGGUGCCUCUCGUGAUGUCUUGAGAUUCAAGGAGGUUAAUGACAAUGCCAUUCGAUGUGGGAUGAUUUCUGAUGUUUUCUUGGGCAAUGCAUUGAUUCAUGCCUAUGGGAAGUGUAAAUGCACUGAAGGUGGAAGGUGGGUUUUUGAUGAUUUGGCUGUGAAAGAUGUGGUUUCUUGGACCUGCAUGUAUUCAUGCUAUAUCAAUUGUGGAUUGCCUAGACAAGGCCUAGCUGUUUUUCACGAAAUGGGACGGCAUAAAAAGCAGAAAAAAAUCUUUCUACAACUUAAUUCAGUUUUCAAGUCAUUAAUCCAUUUCAUCACUUUCCUGAAAUCAACAUUAGUAUUUACCCCUAUUCAAUCAACUUCAUAAAAAGCAUUGCACGUCUUAUCAAGUCGGUCUGCUUCACCAUUACCAAUUAAAUCAUUGUAACUACUUCUGACUAAUGUGUGUCUCCGCUUCAAAUCUUUCCUUCGACGUGAGAAAACAUACUUAGAUGGCACUCAUUCUGUUUUCCUUAUGAGCAUGAGCAAAGAAAGGAUAUGUCUACAUAAAAUACCUUAAACUCAAACAAAUGACAUUCACAUUAUACUUCAAAAUCUUCAUUAAAAUGCACAUUGAAAAGUUAGACAUUUGAUUGCUUCUUGAAUCUUCUUACUCUCAACAACAGAAUAUGUAGAAACCAUACCUUCUUUCUUUUCAAAGGCAGGAAUGCAAUUAGAGCGGGGUAUGUAGGUGAGCCCCUCAGUUUAAACCCGCAUCCGCAAUAAUCCACAUUAAAAAACCUUCUUUUUGUCUUUUCUUUGUAUAGAACCUACAGUUCUCAUAGGCCUCCAAGCGAAUCUCAUCAAGCUUUGUGAGCUUAAGCUUCAUUUACUCUCCCGCUUGGUUAAAGGCUAAGUUACAAGUGCUAACUACCCAAUACACCUUAUGCUCAAUCUCCAUACGUAAGUGGUACGCCUUGUAAGAAAACAAUAUAAAGGGAGAUAUCGCAAGAGGUGCUUUAUAGAUGGUCUUAUAAGACCAAAGAGCAUCAUCAAGGCGGUGACUCAAAUUCUUCCAAUUGGAUCACACCAUCUUCUUCAUAAUUCGCUUGAUCUCUCUAUUAGAAAGCUCUACUCGUCCAUUAGUCCGAGGGUGAGUGUAGAAACUUGAUGCACCACCUUAUACUUCAAUAAUGCCUCCAUGGAGUGAUUACAAAAGUGAGUCCCUUAAUAACUAAUGAUUGCUCGAUCAAGACACGGGCAAAAAAAUAUGAGACUUAACAAAAUUCACUACUCGAGUAUCAUUUUGUUAGCUAUAACCUCUAAAUAUAUUUAUAUAUAAGAUAGAGAGCCAAAUGAGCUUUAUACACAUAAUGAUCUAGAUGUAAUGUAAGUCCCACAUUGUUCUUUAAUUUUUUAAGUGUUUAUAAGAUCCAAUGUUCCUCCACUUGUUGUUUGGCCAUGUAUUGCAGGCGUGCAGUGGUCGUGUUGCACUCUCCAUACCUCACCAAUUCAGGUUUUUUGUUAGAAUGUAUGGCCCAAUCAAGUCUAUUAAGAUCGCAUUGAGGUAUUAUCUGAUUUGAAGCUCGAAAUUUCAUCAUGAUUUUAUCCUUAAAAGUCAUCUUAGAGGAUUAAAAGAUGAAUGCAUAUUUAAAUUAUACAUGACCUUGACUUCUAGGCAACGUGAGACUAUUAGGUGUAUCAUAAUAACCCCCUCAAUGGAAGACUAAAGGAGAACAAUAGUUUGUCUUUGGAACCAUUUUUCUAUUCUCAAAAGCGACAUCAAAUUUGUUGACAUAACAUAAUUAAGAUUAAUCAAUGUCUCCGAUAUAUUGUCUAUUUAAAAAGUGUCUCAAAUGAUUAAGAAAAAUAUGUAUAUUUAAAUUGUCUUUUGAUCUUAACUUUUAAAUAAUGUUAAACUAUAAACUUACCGACCAACAAUAAAAUAAUUUACUUUAUUAAAAUAUUUCAAAAAAUUUGAACUAACUAUUUUAAAGCAGUUCAUACAAGAAUAAAAAUUAACUAAACUAAUUAUUCAUAAUUUUAUAAACUUCAUAAAUUUUAAAUUUCAUUCGAAAAACUAAUUAAAAAAUUCUGCUUAUUAUUAUUUUUUCUUUAUUUCCAAUAUUAAUUACUUUAAAGUUUUAUAAAUUAAAAUGAAAAGAAAAAAAUCCCUCCUAACUAAUUUCCUAAAUCGACACCCUUAACAUUUCAAGAUCCUCAUUUCAAAUUUAUAUUUCUCUUGGAAUCACAUAACCUUUUGUCCUUAAGCCUUGGCUUCCCCCUUUGAAACUCUUGUGGGCUUCUCAUCUCCAUUUCGUUUGCGUUCGUCUCAUCUUCACGCAUCACACACGCCACCAUUAUCGGGGCGGGAAAACAUGGACUAAAAGAACGUUGCGUCAGAGAAGAAUAACCUUUUAUGUCGGCGAGGGAGAGGCCAACGAAGGAGCGCAGAGGAAAACGGUUUCACAAUUUGUAAGACAUACUUUACAAAUUAAUUGGUUAUAUAAUUACUCAUUUUCUGGAUUGGUUAAAGUAUAGUGUUUGUGUUUUAAAGAUUGUGUUUUGGGGUUUCUUGUAGAAGUGUGGAACAUGGAAAGUUGUCAUAAAAAUAAAACACAAAAUCAUAUUCACAUAAACAUAAUUUAAAAAAUAUGAUUUAUUUGUAGAGGGGCAAUGCGAGCUGGCCCGUUGCACAUAGGCCCGCCCCACGUUUGACCCACAAACCCUGCACAAGGAAUGCGAGUUCAUUUUACUGGUCCGCCCCACUAAGAGGUAGCCUCCGGGUUUGCGGGCAAACCCACAUAAGGAAAGUAUUUUUUAAAACAAAUUAAAAUUUCAUUAAUUAUAAAAAUAACCUAUUUUUCCGGUUGAAAAUUUAAAAUUUUAUCCAUGUUUCAAUUUAUUCAAUUAAGAUAAAAAUAUGAAUUCAAGUAUGAGGAUUCUUAGAAGGCUUGAUUAAAAAUAAUUAAAGUUUUGUUUUGCAUCUAUUUUUCCUAUAUAUGUAUGCAAAUGUAUCAAAAAAUCUUAUCAAAAUUUUGCUACAAAAUAUUUUAAUGAAGAUGACUAAUUUUUUAAAGAGUAUCUUAUUGAAAUCUCUUCUUUAUAUUAUUUUUUUAUUAAAAAAAUUUAAGUAUAAGACUUUACUUAUAACUAGAUCCACUUUCACUCCUAAUAUUACUUCCUUUAGAUGAUUAAAAUAAAACAUUCUAUUAUUUAGUACAUUAAAUUUAAUUUUUUAAAAUAAAAUAUAAUAAAAGUCACACUACCAUGAUAAGUGAGUGGGGUAUGAUUUUUUUUUCUUCAGAAAAAAUAAAAUAUUUAUUUAUGCGGAUCAGCGGACCAACUCACCCCAGUUCGUGCGGAAUAUAACUAGUGCAUCAAUUUUGCGCUUUUUGGUGGCGGGCUGCAGACUAGCCCGCAUGGCCCGCUCGCAUUGUCAUCCCUAUUUAUUUAUUUGUAAAUUUACUUGUUUGUAAUUAAAACAUCAUUUUUGAAACUGUAUUGGAGCUUACUCUGGAAAAAAAUCCAGAUUAUGUCAAUUUUUAAGAAAAUAGAAAUUUAUCAGAAAAUAAUUAUGUUUGCGUUAAAAAUAAAAUUUGAACUUUUAAUAAUUCUAAAAAAUGUUAGGUGAAAAAUUAUCAAUAUAAUUUUCUAAAAUGUAAUUAUUAAAUUAAUUUGUAUUGAUUUUAAAUAAUAUUAUUAAUGGUAAGAACACCCAACAAUUAGUAACCAUGCCCUAGCAGUUACUAACCACACCACCUGCAGCUACUAACCACAUUCCAACAACAACUAAACACACCACCAAAGAGGCACAGAGAACAACAACUAGAACACAUAGUCGAUUGUCAAAGUGGGUAGUUGUAAUUCAAGCAUAAUCGAUCAUCUUUACUUUUAUACACAUAAUUGAUUAAGUCAGUAGUCUAAUUCAAGCAUAAUCGAUUAUCCCUAUUUUUUAUACACAUAAUUGAUUAUGUGAGUAGUGUAAUUCAAGCAUAAUCGAUUAUCCUCACUUUUUCAUACACAUAAUCGAUUAUGUAAGUAAUCGUAAUUCAAACGUAAUCGAUUAUCCCUAUUUUUUUAUACACAUAACCAAUUAUGUGUGUAGUUGUUCUUCAAUCAUAAUCGAUUAUGCAUUAAACUUUAGCAUGUGAGAUGUUUCAUGUAAGGGAAAAUGGAAAAUGUUCAACAUCCUACGUGACUUUCCUUUCAAUCUUUGUAUCUCAAGGGGAGAGAAAUCAUUGUUCACGCGGAUUGACUCUCAUCCCUUUUCAUGUACAACCCUUAAUCCAAAUCGUGGAUAUCCCCCAGAUUCAUCUUCCUCGGCAAUAGAAAGCAGUAGAAGCCUUAAAACAAACACAAACUUAAUUAAUUUGGUGGAGUUGUCACUUGCAUGCAUGGAAAAGUGAUUUGAGAGAAAUUCCAUUCAAGUUGGACUCGCGUCUUUGAAUCCUCUUAUCACAUGCAGUAGCAUUUUGGAUAUUGGAAAUUGGAAUGACUCGUAAUUUGCAUUGUUCAACUGGCUUUAAAAUUUGGUGUUGAUUGCAAAUCGCAUGUAGUGGAGUAAACGGUUUUGAUUAAUAAAAGCUUUGAAUACUCUUGUGGGGCAAUCGUGAAUUGAUGAUUGGUGAAACUGGUGGAGCUACAGUACGCAAAAGAAAAAAUGAAGGUGCAGAGAAAUUUAGCAAAUAAUGCAAUUUAAUUUUUAUGCUUUGAGAACUCGAAUACAUCCAUCUUUGUCAAUCUUUAGGUGUUUUUUUUAGUUUUACUUUCCUUAAUCUUUAGGUCCUCUUUUUUAGUUUUAAUUUCCUUACUACUGUAAAAAUGCUUUUACACAACGGUUUUUAAAGUCCUCAAACAGUGGUUUUAAAAUCAUAGUUUAUGAGCAUGUUGUCUAUAAAAUUUUGAAUUAUAGACUACAACUAAACAACCAUGGUCUAUAACAUAACUAUAGGCAGAGUUAUUAACAUAAUCACUAACAAUAUUGUAAGUGAAAUAAAAACGGAGAAGACCCAAAGGAGGGUAUAGGUAACAGUUAUGGACAAAAUCGUCGUCAAUACCCUUUUUUGAGUCUUCUAUGUUUACCUACAUGAAGUCAUUAUAAACUAUGAUUAUAUCUAAAAUCGUAGUCUAUGAUCCACUAUAGACAGUGAUUAUGUCGAUAACCACAGCCUAUACCUUCAAGAUCACAAGCUGAAACUCUUUAUUUUAGCAACACACUAACUUCUAGAAACUCUAUCAGAAAGUACAAACACAAACACUUUUACAAAAAGGAAACGUUUAGGAAGGAAAACACCUUGAUUCCAGAUACAAGAGUUUAAACCAGGACCCUCACAACUGCAGCACUUAAUAGAAGCUUCAAUUUAGAGCCAAAGGCACCAACACAAGAGCACUAAGAAAACCUUAAAAAAAAACUAAAAAACUCACUUCAAAAUAUCAAUGAAAGCACUUGAAAAGUGUAUGCAACUAUAGGGUCAUCAAUGUAAACCAAUUUCUUAUUUCUUUAUGGACUUGGUUCUCGACUCGAUUGCUACAAAAUAAAGAAUAUUUUCAUUAAAUUAAUAUAAUACAUAAAUAUAAAUUAAUAAUUAUAAAUUUAUUUCUUAUCGGGAGUUCAAGAAUAAGUCGAAAGAGGUGUAUGGGCCUGGCUAUGAAUGUCUGAAAUGCUUCAACAACAGUAGUGACCUAAUUAGUAGGCAGAGGAACAUGAUCAUCAUCAAUUGAACUUUCUCUACUAUGACCUUUACCACAUUAGAGGGCGAACCACAUUAUGUAAGGUAGUGGCCCCGUCAAAGGCUUUCCCUAAGACAACCACCGGAGGAGUGAAUGAAUCCUCUACAAGUAACUCACAUUGGGUUAUCUCGCCAAUGUCUUUCCCUGAUCCUGUAGGAGUUGCACAACUCCCCUAUGUGUUCUUGAGAGUUGGAGCCGCAAGCGGUUGGACAUGAGCCAUUUGUUGUGAUAGAUUUAAGGUCUGGAGCUUCUCCUGAAACUCUUGCCUUAACUACUGAGUCAAUCGCUCAGUAACUUGUUGAGUUACCCUCUAAGUAACCUUGUUAGUCACGUCCUCUGUCACCUGUUUAGUGAUCUGGUGUCGUAAUUGACUUAUCACUUUUUAGCUAGGCUCAAAAGAGGAUGAAUGUCGUGGUGCAGUUCUAAAAAACUGGAAAAUGCCAACCCAUGUUCUGUAGCAUGCACAUGGUCAGGGUGUUCAGGUCGUCCAAUAAUUGCAAAGAGUAUAUCUUCAUGACUAUGGGGAACAAAAUUACCUUGAGAGCUUUGCUCAACCAAGGAUUCCUGCAAGGCCCCAAAAUUAUAUAAGUUUUUCAUAUAACUAAUACCGUAAAAUAUGACAACAAGAAAAUAACUUACAAUUUUUUCUAAGACUAUUCGUGAUUUCACAAAACUAUAUGCAGUUAAUCUUUUGACACGGGCUUGCUUCCAUUUUCGGUGGCGGGUAGGUGGUGAUAGAGGUUAAAUGACCCCUGUAUCAUCCUCAUAAGUAAUUCUCGGUUGUGAUUUCUCCUUCUCCUUUAUCAUAGCUUCUUCAAGCUUACGAUAAACCCCAAGACAGUAGGUGAGAGGUCACAUUCUGAACUGCUAUGUCCUGAGCAUUUUUCCAAACACAUUGUGACAAAUCGAACAAACUGAAUUAGAUAAUAAUAAAUAAUUUCAACUAUGAGCAAUAUAUAAAAUGAAUAACUAAUAGUACUUAUCGUCCAUUGGUCAGCUUCACGACUUUCAAUAAAUAUACAUCUAAUCAAGAUUGACAUACUUUGGACAAAAACAUAUUUCAAUGUUAGCUUUGACUUAAACUGACAAAAUUUAAUGGCAACCAAAGAUAAAACCUUUGAUUUGAAGGUCUCCACAUUAGGGAUAUCAAAAUGUGUGUACAAGAAAAUACCAUGAAGUUUUAUUUCAUGAACUAAUAUAAAAAAUAAAUAUAUGAUAACAAUAAUAAUGUAUACAUUACCAAUAUAUCCUCUUAGAUCAUGGUUUGGUCGACCUCAGGCACAUGAUCCCACAAAGGUACUAAGAUGGGGAUCUUCUCACAUAACAAGACUCUAAGAUUAUUGUUCAACAUAUCGACAUUAAGACCAAAUUCCAUACUAGUAAUCAAGUUUAUAGUGAGUGGUGUCCUGUCACCACUAUCACAUUUUAAUAUGUAACAUAAGAAAUGUUUUCAAUUUGAGUACUUUUUAUUUAAGAAAAUUCAGUUUUCAUGUAUAUUAUUUUUUUAAAGUGAAAUCAAUUGGUUGUUUUGAUUUUUAACAGGUUGAUUUUACUUAAUUGCACCUUGUUAUUAAAAAUUGUUUAUGAUAAAUCUCUAUAAAAGGGUAUGCUUUAUUUCAGAAAAAAGUUUCUCAUACAACUUACAUUUUCAUAUCUGUGAGAGCCUUUGUGUGAAAACUUUUUUGAAAGAAAUAAUCUUUAAAAGAUCUUUGAGUUUUCUUGAAGCUAAAUCUUCAUCAUCUAGAUAAAGUUCAAAGAUAUUUUAUUGCAACUGUGAAUUGGAGAAGUCUUGUUGUAUUUCUUGAUUCACGGUCAAAGUUUAUUCGUUCCCUUACAUACUAUUUUGUAUUUCUAUAAUUGUUGGGGCCAAGAUAGGAUUUCUUGGUGUGUAUCACUGCUGUGACAUGGUGUUGUUCUUAUAGUGUUCAAGAACUAUUUUUGUAUUUCUUGUAAAGGAAUUAUGUUGUUUUAAUGAAAUUCACCUUGAUGUGAGGUGGGACUAGAGUAGCUCUGUUCUGAGUGAACCAAUAUAAAAACUUUUUUUAUUAUGUUUUCUUUAUCAUUGCUUUAUAUUUUUUCUGCAUAAUAUUUUGUACUGGUAUAAUCAUUUGGUUGUUUGUAAAAAUCAAUAUGUGGUUUUUUGUUCUCUAUAGACUAAUUUGAUUCUCUGUAAUAACUAAAAAAGUUGUGAUAAGCAAUAUUGACGGUUACAUUGAAUAUUAAUGUAUUCUGUAUCAAUUUGUAUUUGUUACUCAUUAAACAAGAUAAAUUGAAACAAAGGUUUUCUUAAAAACAUUGUUUGAUAUAUCUGAAUUUUGCACUUAUAAAGUAAUCUGUAAAAAUCUCUUUUAUGUAAUUCUUAAUCAGAAAAAAAAAUCAGUUAAUUCCAAAAAUAAUAAGUUGAAAUUAGUUCAGAAAUUUGUUUCUUUGAAAUAGAUUUAGAUCUUUUUAAACCAAAUUUUUGGUUUACAAGAUUGUGUUUUAAGAUCUAUGUAUUAAAGAUUUUAAUCAAUUUUUUUAAUAAAACAAAUUCAUUUUUUUUAUCUGUGUACUUCAACUAUAAAAUCAAUAUGUUGUUUUGAAAAACAAUUUGUUAAAGUUCUGUUUGAAUUGUUGUAAACAAUUAUUUGCAAAAAUCUUUUUAUGUAUAAUUCACCUCCCUCCCCCGCUUUCAAUACAUUCAACCCUCCUUUUUAGAUGCACCUUCAAUUGGUAUCAUAGCUAACCUCAAGGGAUAGUUCUUAGCAGGACUUGAGGUAAUCCUGGUGAACUCAAUGUUGUUUGAGACAAGAACCAUCAACCUGCAACCCUUUUUCAAAGGAGAGAAGAAUAAACUAUGGAAAGUGUAAAUGAUUGAUUUCUUGAAAUACAUGAAUGAAGAUAUGUCGAUUAUUAUUAAAGAAGGUAUUUCUUCUCUACUUAUCUCCUAUGGAGAAUUUUGGAAUGAACAUGAAAAGAACAAAUAUGAACUCAAUACCAAAGCUAGGCAUAUUCUUAUGUGUGCAUUGUUUAAAGAAAAACUAUCCAAUGUUAUUGCCUUAAGUGUGAAAGAAAUGUGGGAGACUAUUUCUCUAUCUCAUAGAGAAUCAAAAGGAGAUUCAAACUCGUCUGACUCCAAGAUUGAUCACAUUUGCUUCAUGGAAGACACCACAGAAAACCUAACAUCAAAAGAAUUUGAUGAGGUGAUACAUGAUAAUACUAUCGCAAAUUCCUUUGAAAACUUCGUUGUUGAUAACUCCAGUGAAGAGGUAAAUUUCCUUAACUUAUGCUUUGAUGGCCUUCUUCUUCUUGCAUUGUGUUGUUUCUUGACUUUUGAUGGAGAUUGGAAUGGAGGAAGGUUGCAAAAACUUAGAUGAAUUCAAUGGUAAGUUGGGUGUGAUCAAUCUUAAAGGAGAAAACAAUAUAUACAAGCUUAAGUUGGCUUAAAUUUUUAGUUAUGGUAAUUUGAAUUGGUCUCGGGUUACGAGAGCAUAUUUUCUAAAUAAAUAUAAUCAAAGAGUUGCUAUUUAUAAAUCUUCGUCUAUUCGACUUGACAUUAAUGAUUAUCAUGAUUAAGUUCUUCAAAAUUUUAAAUGAAUCACUGGUAAUUUCUAGAAUGAUGCUUGACUUUUUGAUAUUUCUAUGCCUUAGCAUAUUAGCAUUCCAAAAACCCUUAGAUGUUAGUGUAGGUCUAAGGUUUAUGAUGUUUGGAAUGGCAUUGGUUGGUACAUACCAAAUUCUUUAAGGAAUAUUGAGGAUAUAUUAACAACAUCAAUUUCAUAGUUAUUAUUGAUUAGGUUGAGGAACCUGUUUGGAUGAUGAAUGAUUCUAUUUUACUCAAUAUAAAGUUUGCUUCUACCAUUAUUCAUACCAAUUGAAUUUCUCAUUAUUGAGGGAAAAUUAUUUGGUAUAAAUCUCUCAUAAACUAAAUCGUUAGUUUUUUUUUUUGAAGUUGUUGCUUAAUUAUUUACUAUUUAAUGAACAUUUUCAUAUGGCAUUAGUUUAUCUUCCAAAUCCAAAUUAUUCAAUCAUCACAAGGCAAGUUUGAUUCAUCUCUUUUAUGAAUGCAUUUUUUUCUACCAAUAUUUGGGCUGGUCAAAUCAUGUUUUUCCUUAUUUGUCUUGGUCUUCUGUUAAUGAUAUUUUGUCUUUCUUGUCUGAAAGAACUAGCCAUAUUAUUUAUACAUUAGGUUUCUUGCUACCACCUUCGUUCUUUCAAUCAUUUGGAAAAUCUAGAAAUCAUGAGAUUUGAAAAACUUAUCCUUUUUCAGUCGACGCUUCAUUUGGUCUAGUGAAAUAUUCAUAUGGCAAGUGAAAAAUCUUUUAAUCCUAUGCAUAAUGAUAUAAUUGACCUUUGCAUUUUGAAGUUUUUCAAUGUUCAGACUAAAAAUUUCGGUAUGAGAGUUUGAAAGGUAGAUUGGUUUAUGUCUAGAGUUAGCUGGUAAAGGUUGUGUUGCCAAAGGUUGUCUCGGUCACAUGUGAUGGUACCUUUAGAGGUAGUAGAGGAUAGUUGGUUAGAGGAUUUAUGUCCUAUCAAGGCAUGAAGCCCUCUAUUGAUGUUGAGUUUAUGGUUGUCAUCGUUGUAAUAAAGAUCUUUAUAGUUAAAAACUAUAGAUGAGUCUGGCUUGAAUGUGACUCCUCUUUAGUUUGACAUACUUUCCAAAAUUUUGGUAUUGUUCCGGGAAGGUUGAAAGCUCAUUGGUAAAAACUUUUAACACUUCUUAAGUUAUGAGUUUUAAAGUCUCCCAUAUAUCUUUCGAUUGAGUAAAUAUGUUGAUGGUUUUGCUAACAUUGGUCUUAUUAAUAUACUGGAUUAUCUUUGGUUUGAUUCUUUACCUUCCAAUGUUCAUUUUGAUCUUUUUAAAAAUCAUUUAAACCUCUUAAAGUUUAGGUUUUGUUAAUUGUUUGAAGGGUAAUAUUGCAUUAAUGGUCAGUUUACCGACUGUUAGUAUUCAUAUUUUAUAGCUUCUGGUAUUUGUAAUUUUAUUAUAUAUAUUAUUGAAGUAAAUAAAAGUGAAUGAAUCAGUUCAGCAGUUUUGCAAUUUCAUGCAAUUACGUUCAAUCAGUUUCUACAACUUUUUACCUUCUGUUAUUUCCUUCAAUUAGUUUCUACAAUAGGCAUCAAAGCUAGUUUGUUAUCAUGAACUCUACCCAAUUAUCAAACCCUAUACUUGAUGGAAAAAAUUACAAUCGGUGGUGUGUGCAGAUGAAAGUUUUGUUUGAUUAUCAUGAGUUAUGGAUGUCGUUAAGAGUGGAGUGUCUGCAUUAGCUGAUAAUGCAACUUAGGCGCAACGAGUAGCGCAUCAUGACCAAAAGAAGAAGGACAAGAAGGCUUUGUAUCUCAUCCAUCAAGGGAUGAAUGACAAGACAUUUGAACAGAUAGAAGGAGCAACAACUGCAAGUGAGCCUUCAAACCCUAAGAGUGCGUCUUCAAAUCCUAAGACGCCAAUAUGAACUGUUGCAGAUGGAAACCACAAAGAUUGUUGAUGUCUAUAUAAAUAAAGUUCUUGCCUUGACAAAUCAGAUGAAGACCAAUGGUGAAACACAUUCGGAGCAAGCAAAGGUGGAAAAGAUUUUGAGGUCUUUAACUCCCAUAUUUGUGUUGAAUCAAGUGUGUUCAAGCUUUGAAGAAUCCAAACCCUUUGAAGUUUGAUGGAAGGCUGGAUGUGUUUGUUGUUGCUGAGGUGUUUUAGAAUAGGAUAUGGGGUUGAUUAUCUGUGUAAAUCCGCUCUUGAUUGAAUCCAAAUCUUAAGCAUUCUUAAACCUUUUAAUUGAAAGUGUUUUUCAAACUAAGUGAAAAACAACCUGUUGUUUUGUCGAAACAACCGAUUGUUUUAUACUUAGGUGUUUUUAGAAAGGUUGAAAAUUGUUUUUGAUGGUUGACUUGCUGUCAAACCAAAACAACCGAUUGAUUCGAGUAUUCAGCCGAUUGUUUGUUUUGGGACCAUAACAGAAAACUGUUUUGUGCUUUGACUAAGCUUUAAAUUAUUUUAUAACUGAAUACACUCCAGUUUUAAAUGCUUUGACCAGUCUUUGAAAGCAAUAAAUAGUUUGUUCAGAUUAUGUAACAAACAAGAACUGAGAUUUAACCAAAGAAAAACAUAUUUGAGUUUUUCACAAAUUUUGCUUUUGAAGAGUUGAAGUUUGCUUUGAGAUUGCUUUGAUCAAGAGAGUGUGGAAUAGAAUUUUCAUCUUGUAUUGAUUUCAGAUCUUUCUAUAACAAGUGUAAUCCUUUUGUACUUUGAGAAAACUUUGUGUGUGAAGCUAAGAAGUGUUGUGUGCUCUUGAGGUUGUUAAGAUCAACAUUCUUAGUAGUGUUUGUGUUGAGCUAAAGGAAGUGUGUGUCUUGAGGGAUCAAGGUCACUUCUUUGGUGGUGUUGUAAGUAAUCUAGGGUUGAUUGCUUAGUGGAUUUCCUAGUGGUUUCUGGAAAGACUGGAUGUAGCUCUUGGUUUAAGAGUGAACCAGUAUAAACCUUUGUGUACAAUCUCUCUAUCUCUUGAACUCUUUAAUUUCAGUUUAUAUUUGUGAACUGGUAUAAACAACUGAUUGUUUCUGCGAAACAACUGAUUGUUUUUCUGGUGCUGUGCUAAAUUACUUUGUGUUUUUGGCAAACUGAAUUCUGAAUCAAGUUUUCUUAAAGGAAUUUCAUUCUAGACUAAAAAGUUUGCGAAAACCCUCUUUAAACCAUUCACCCCCCCUCUAGUUUAAAGCCAUACAUUUUAACAAUUGGCAUCAAGAGCUUGGUUCUUGAAAUUUAUUCAAGUGUGAUCCUAAAACUGUUUUUAUAUGGCUGAUAGAUUACCUUUUGGGGAAGGUGCUUCAAUCAACAGACCACCUCUGUUUUGUGGUUUGAACUACCAAUUUUGGAAAGUCAGAAUGAAAAUCAUUGUGGAAUCACUUGACAAAGGUAUUUGGGAUGCAAUUGAAAAUGGCUCCUUUGUUCCAAAAUUUGAAAAAGAUGGAUCUUCCAUUGAAAAACCUUGGUCUCAAUGGACUGAUUCUGAAAGCAAGAAGGCCAAAUUUGAUUGCAUUGCUAAAAACAUAAUAACUUCUGCCUUGAAUUCAAAUGAAUUUUUCAGGGUCUCUCAAUGCAAAUCAACAAAGGAAAUGUGGGACACCUUGGAGGUAACUCCUGAAGGUAUCAAUGAGGUGAAAAGAGCCAGAAAGCAUACCCUAAUCCAAGAGUAUGAAAUGUUCAGAAUGUUCAAGGGUGAGACCAUUGCUGAAGUUCAGAAGAGGUUCACUCACAUCAUCAAUCACCUCAUGAGCCUUGAGAAAACCUUUGAAAAAUAAGAGCUAAACAUCAAGAUCCUCAAAUGUCUUGAUAGGUCGUGGCAACCUGAGGUAAUUGUUAUAUCUAAAUCAAAAGAUCUAACAUCAUUGAGUAUGGCUUCUUUGUUUGGCAAGCUUAGGGAACAUGAGUUGGAGAUGAGUAGACUCAGUGUUCAAGAAAGUGAAGACAAGCAUGUAAGGAGUAUUGCCUUAAAAGCUAUCAAGCACAAAAGAAAGCAAGAAUCCAGUGAUGAAGAGAACCUUAGUUUGCUAUCUAGAAAGUUUAGCAAAUUCUUGAAAAGGAACCGCAACAAAGACACCAACAAAGAAAGGUAUGGAACAAAAAAUCCAAUGAUUUUAAUUCCAAUAACUAUACUAGUUUUGGUUGUGGUGAGCAAGGGCACAUAAAGGCAGAUUACCCAAAUAAAGAAGGCAAUGAGAAGAAGUCAAGCUACAAAGAAAAUAAGGGAAAUUCAAAAAGGGCCUACAUAGCUUGGGAUGAGAAUGAAGUCUCCUCAUCAAGCUCAUCAUCAAGUGAAGAAGAAAAGGCAAACAUAUGCUUGAUUGCAGAAGGAGAUGAUGAGUCAUGCAGCUCAAGUGAUGUAAGUUCAUGUGCUUCUCUAAUUAUAGUGAAUUGCUUGAAGCUUUUCAAGAAACACAUGAAGAAGUUAAUAGAUUGGUUCUUUCAAACAACCGAUUGAAAGAGCUUAACAGCUGGCUUGAAAAGAGAGUUAAGGCACUUGAAGAAGAGCUGGAAAUAUCAAAAAGUUUUGAAAAUCUAGAAACUCAUUGCAAAAACUCUUCUUGCAAGUUGGACACUUUCAUUUGUGAAAAUUGUGAAAAUCUUGAAAAGAAAGUGCACUAUCUUGUUAGUACUGUGGAUAAGCUUUCAAAAGGAAAAUCCAACUUUGAGAAUGUCUUGGCAUCUCAAAACUGUGUUUUUGGAAGAGCUGGAUUACGUUUUAAUCCACAAAACAAGCAAGAUAAGUUUUCAAAGAUUUUUUCAAAACAGCUAGUAAAACAACCGAUUGUUAAGUCGAAACAACCGGUUGUUACAUGCUUUUAUUGCAUGAAGAAAGGCCAUUCUGUUAGAUUCUGCAAAAUAAGGAAAUUUUCUAUUCCCAGAGGCUUUAUGAAAUGGAUUCCCAAAGGUUGAGGUUUCAAAUGAUAAAAAUAAACCAAAUAGACCCACAUUUGUAAGGGGACCAAACCUUGUUGCUUGAAUUCAUGUCCAUGCAGGGAAUCUAGAAGAAUAUGAGGAACUGAGUCAUCUGAUCAGGUUCUUGGAAGGAAAAUAUUAACAUUGAAGCUGAAUCAAUGUUAUGUAUCAGUCAAAGGUUCUCAAUAGUCAAAAGAGGCUUCUUGAUCAAAGGCAUAUGAUUCAUUGAAGGAACAUCAUAAAGGAUAAGACCUUCCAUAUCUCUAUCUUUAAGUUUUUUUAAAUUCAUAUUCAUACUUAAUAUCUCUGGUUAAAUGCUCAAUUUCAUCUACUUUUAAUCCUAUAUGCUCAUUCUUGAUAAUUCAAAAUUUAUUUUGCUGCUGCAGAAAAACAAUCGAUUGUUUCCUCAAAACAACCUAUUGUUUCCUCUCUGACAGCACUGUGAAAGAGUGGAUUUAAUUCUUUUUUGAAUUCUAUCUGUUGCAGAUCUCAAUUAUGAAAGAAUCCUUAGUCAAUAAAGCAGUGUUGAAAGCUGAUCACGUUCUAGAGGAAGUUACAACAUGUCAUAAAGGAAUAUAUUCCAAAAUCUUGGAAAUUUAAGAGACUUUAUGACUAGUCAAAGAUCACAUGUGAUGACCAUGUGAUUUUCUGCUUUUUCUGACGUUUUCUGUGCAGGUCUUGGUCAAGUAUUUUCUCUCUGAAGACUGAAACCCGUUCACAUCAUUGAAUGCAGUUUGGUUCUGUGUUUCUUUAAAUUUUGUUGCAGUUGUUCUCCCUCACAAGAACAAUCAAUUGAGCCAUCUCUUGCAACAUCUCUUGCUCUCCUUGUGUGAGUCUUCUUUGCCCCUUUUUCUGUUGUCAUGGAAUCAACUCCUCCUACAUCAAAGAGGGUAAAAACCAGAGCUGUGAGGUCUGGAGGGAGAUUAGAGGGCUGGUUUUCUGGAGACAAUGAGCUCAUUGAAAGGUAUAGGUUUGAAACUAGCACAAAGGUGAUCAACAACCCCAAAGUUGUUUCCUUUGAUUGGCUAAAGAGCAAAAAGCUAGACAAUGUGAGGAAAUUGCUCAAGGACCAAUCACUAAGAAGGUUCUUGGAGAUGAAGGGAAACAUAUACCCUGAUUUGAUUCGGGUAUUCUACACCAAUCUCAAGUUUGAGGAAAACAACCUUGUUUCUCAUGUGAAGGGAGUUGACAUGAAGAUCACUCAUGAUGUGUGGACUGCUGUUGCUGGUCUGAAAUAUGUUGGUCUAAGAAUCAACAAGGAAAAUCUUGGAGUAGUGGAGGAUUUUAACAAAGUCCAAUACUACAAGAGUUGCUUGAAGAAUCAAAAUGCCCAAGUGAGAACUUGUUCGGUUGGAGGCUUAAAGCUAGAUGAAAGGGUGUUUGCUCUUAUUGUAACUUGGAUUCUUACUCCAAGGGGGAGCAACCAUUCUGUCCUAACAGAAGAAGACCUUGUAUACAUCUACUGCAUCAUGAAGAAGAUCAAAAUCAACUGGAUCCACAUCAUUAAAGAACACAUGCAAAAAGCCAUGAGGUUAAGUGAUUAUCACUAUCCCUAUGCUGUUUAAAUCUCUAAAUUCUUGCUCUAUUUUGAAGUGAAUCUUGAAGAUGAGUCAUGUGAGUUGGUUAAGUCAACACAAGAGAUGAACAAUGGCUCUCUUAACAAGAUGGGAUUCACCAAAAUAAAUGGAAAAUGGGUGAGCAAAGAAGGAGAUCAUGGUGCUUCAUCAAGUGCUACAACUGCUGAUUUUGAUGAAGAAGAUCAAGCUGUUGACAUGGAUUUUCACCAUAAAGAACAACCUGAAACCAAUCUAGGUGCUGGAACCAGGGCAAGAAAUCAAGGAGAUGAAAUGCCAUCCAUGUCUUCUUUUGAAAGAUACAUGGUAAAUAGGCUUGAUGGUUUUGCCGAGAAUCAAAGGAAUCUUCAUGAUUUGUGUGUAAGCAACUUCCAGAGUAUAUAUAACAGAUUCAACAACAUGGAUACACGGUUUAUGACCUUGGAUGAACAGAUAGAAGCUGUUCAGAAUCAGAUUUUUAAACUCCAGUAUGGCAAGGAUGAUUAAAGGAAAAACAACCGGUUGAAUUCACGAAAGAACCGAUUGUUUUUGGUCUUGUAUCAGUUUAAGUGCUUUUGUUCUCUAUUUUUGUAUAAUCUGGAACAAUUAUCUUUUUAUCUCUUCUUUUUGUCUAUUUGUGAAGACAAAUAGGGGGAGAUUUUAUGUUGUGUUGUCUUUCAUUAUCUUUUAUUAUUUCUACAAACUCUAUGUUAUGUAUGAGUUUUUAAGUAAGCCUUAUUUCUGCUGGUUUUAAUGUUGCUGAUAUACUGUUUCUGUUUUUGCUCUAACCUUCUAUCAGAGAUAUUGUGCUUUUCUUAAAAUUUUUCUUGCAGGAACUUCUUCAGAUUCAAUCAAAUCCAACACAAGCAACCAGGGAUUUGUCUUCAUCAAAUAGGGGGAGAUUGUUGAAUCAAGUGUGUUCAAGCUUUGAAGAAUCCAAACCCUUUGAAGUUUGAUGGAAGGCUGGAUGUGCUUGAUGUUGCUGAGGUGUUUUAGAAUAGGAUCUGGGGUAGAUUAUCUGUGUAAAUCCACUAUUGAUUGAAUCCAAAGCUUAAGCAUUCUUAAACCUUUUAAUUGAAAGUGUUUUUCAAACUAAGUGAAAAACAACAUGUUGUUUUGUCGAAACAACCGAUUGUUUUAUACUUAGGUGUUUUUAGAAAGGUUGAAAACUGCUUUUGAUGGUUGACUUGCUGUCAAACCAAAACAACCGAUUGAUUUGAGUAUUCAACCGAUUGUUUGUUUUGGGACCAUAACAGAAAAUUGUUUUGUGCUUUGACUAAGCUUUAAAUGAUUUUAUAACUGAAUACGCUCCAGUUUUAAAUGCUUUGACCAGUCUUUGAAAGCAAUAAAUAGUUUGUUCAGAUUAUGUAACAAACAAGAACUGAGAUUUAAUCAAAGAAAAACAGAUUUGAGUUUUUCACAAAUUUUGCUUUUGAAGAGUUGAAGUUUGCUUUGAGAUUGCUUUGAUCAAGAGAGUGUGGAAUAGAAUUUUCAUCUUGUAUUGAUUUCAGAUCUUUCUAUAACAAGUGUAAUCCUUUUGUACUUUGAGAAAACUUUGUGUGUGAAGCUAAGAAGUGUUGUGUGCUCUUGAGGUUGUUAAGAUCAACAUUCUUAGUAGUGUUUGUGUUGAGCUAAAGGAAGUGUGUGUCUUGAGGGAUCAAGGUCACUUCUUUGGUGGUGUUGUAAGUAAUCUAGGGUUGAUUGCUUAGUGGAUUUCCCAGUGGUUUCUGGGAAGACUGGAUGUAGCUCUUGGUUUAAGAGUGAACCAGUAUAAACCUCUGUGUACAAUCCCUCUAUCCCUUGAACUCUUUAAUUUCAGUUUAUAUUUGUGAACUGGUAUAAACAACCGGUUGUUUUUCUGGUGUUGUGCUAAAUUGCUUUGUGUUUUUGGCAAACUGAAUUCUGAAUCAAGUUUUCUUAAAGGAAUUUCAUUCUAGACUAAAAAGUUUGCGAAAACCCUCUUUAAACCAUUCACCCCCCUCUAGUUUAAAGCCAUACAUUCUAACAAUUUGAACAUGAUGUUGCCGCAAUUGAAGAGGCUAAUGACAUUUCAACAAUGACACUAAGGUUAUUGUCUAGUUCCCUAUGAGCGCAUAAGCAGUGGAUGAAUGACAAUAAGACUGGAAAACCAAUUGAACAAGCUUUACAAGCACAAACCUCAUUUGUAGCUCCUAUCAUAAACACGGUAGUUCAUAAGGCAAAGGACGGGGACAUGGUGGUAGCUAUUCCAACAAAGGUCGUGGUGGCCAGAAUCAUAGAGGCGCUGAGCAAAAUAACAUUGGUUCCAAUCACAAUCGAAGUUCAAAUAACUCUUGGCGCGGAGGACGUGGUCGUGGAGGACGAGGAGGCAUGAAUAAUAAAUUAAAUGUAGAGUGUUAUAACUGCCAUAAAUGCGACCAUUAUGGAAAUGAGUGGAUAUCAAAAUGUGAUAAUCAUACUGCCAAUUAUGCUCAAGAAGAUAGUAAUCACUAACAAGAUGAAGAGGAUCAUGCAGUACUAAUGGCAACCACAUCAAAUAAAACUCCAAACAAUCAGACUUGGUAUUUGGAUACAUGUUGCACAAAUCAGAUGUGUGGUCAGAAGGAGUUGUUUGCAUAUUUGGAUGACUCAUUUCGCACAAAAGUGAAAUUCGGUGAUGGUAGGUUUGUUCCGGUGACUGGAAAAGGGCGAAUUCUUAUCACAUUGAAGAACAGUGAUCACAAGUACAUCUGUGAUGUUUUCUAUGUACCUGAUAUGAAAAUUAAUAUGUUGAGUAGGGGACAACUGACCGAAAAGGGUUACAUGAUGCACAUAGUUGAAAAUCAAUUCUCAAUUUUUGAUAAAAAAUUGUAGUUUGAUUCUUAAAACCUCUUUAUCAAAAAACUGCAUGUUUCCAGUAGAUUUUCAUAUGGGUGAUUUCAAGUGCUUGAAUGCAAUAGUGAAUAAUGAAACAUGGUUGUGGCAUUUACGCUUUGGGCACUUAAAUUUUCAGAGUUUGGAAAAUCUCUCCAAAUGAAAUUUUGUGAAUGGUUUACCCCAUAUUCAUCACCCUGAUCAAUUGUGUGAGGCUUGCAUUUUUUGAAAGAAUCACAAGAUACCUUUUGUUAAGGAGCCUUGGCGUGCAAAAUUUCCUUUGGAACUUGUUCAUACAGAUGUUUGUGGUCCGAUGAACAUAUCAUCAAUUAUAGGUAAUAAGUAUUUUUUAACCUUUAUUGAUGAUUUCUCAAGGAAAACCUGGAUUUAUCUAUUGAAAAGCAAGGAUGAGGUAUUCCACUACUUUAAAAUAUUUAAAGCAUUUGUUGAAAGACAGAGUGACAGACUAAUUAAGAUGGUGCGUAGUGAUGGAGGGGGUGAGUACAAGUCUAAUGAGUUCAAGAGGCACUGUGAAGAACUUGGGUUGUAGCAUAACAUAACAUGUCCCUACACACCUCAACGCAACGGAGUUGCCAAGAGAAAGAAUAAAACAAUCAUGGACAUGGCGAGGAGCAUGCUUAAAGCGAAAGGUAUGCCAAAUUAUUUUUGGACUGAGGCCAUAACAUGUGCGGUAUAUUUGAUAAACAUAUCACCUACUCGGAGUGUUCCUAACACAACUCCGAUUGAGGCAUGGAGCGGAUUCAAACCCAAUGUAAACACUUGAAGGUAUUUGGGUCAAUUACUUAUGCUCAUGUCCCCAAGGCAGCAAGAUCGAAGUUGGAUGAUAAGGGAGUGAAGACCAUUUUAAUUAGAUAUAAGCAUGGGGGAUACAAACUCUACAAUCCAAUGACAAAGAAGGUGAUUGUCAGUCAUGAUGUUACAUUUUUCGAAGAUGAGGAAUGACAAUGGAAUGCAGUAGUUGAAAUGGAUUCGAAAAAACGAUAUAUUUACUUUUUGAAUGAUGACGCGGAAGAUGGAGUCACUCUUGAAGCACCUGCAGUUCAACCUAAAAUUGCAACUCCAAUUGCAACUAUGAUGGAGCAACGAAGAAGGCAGCAACAACAAACUGUACACCUUCAAGAUUGCGAAGUAAAUCUUGAUGAUGAAGUUGAUGACAAUGGAGAAUUGGUUCACUUUGCUUUUCUUGCAGAUUCAGAACCCGUGAGACUUGCAGAUGCCAUUCAACACCCCAAAUGGCAAGAGGCUGUGAAUGAAGAAUUGAUGGCGAUUGAGAAAAAAAAUACAUGGCAGCUCACUGAUCUUCCAAAAGGACCCAAAGCAAUUCAUGUGAAGUGGGUGUACAAGAUUAAAGUGAAAGCAAAUGCUGAGAUUGAUAGAUACAAGGCAAGGUUGGUGGCAAAGGGAUUCGAGCAAAGAGAAGGCUAUGAUUACGAAGAAAUAUUUUUUCCUGUAGCUCAAAUGAAAACAGUGAGAUUAAUCAUUGCUUUAGCUGCACAAAGGCAAUGGAAAAUUCACCAAAUGGACGUCAAGUUUGCGUUUCUAAAUGGCCCACUUGAUGAAGAAGUUUAUGUAAGUAGCCGUCGGGUUUCAUACAAUCUGGCAAAGAGGAGAAGGUGUAUAGACUAACUAAGGCUUUAUAUGGUCUUAAACAGGCACCAAAAGCUUGGAACAAAGCCACUGGAUUCAAAAAAUGUGCAUCAGAUCAUGGUCUUUGAUGGAAGAGGGUCAAGCACAAACUCACAUAAAAAGACAAGAGCCAAGACAUGAGCAUCCAAAGCCAAACCAAGAGCGUCUAGGCCAAAGGGAGGAGCGUCUAAGCCAAGCGAAUCCAUGAAGAUUUGUAUAUGCUACAUGAAGGCCCAUUAAGGGUAGCUUGGUAUUAGUUGUGGUGUAAAUAGCAUAAACUUGAUUCCAUGAGACUUGACCUAGAUUUGCUAAAGAUUUGGUCACGUUCUAGAAGGAUUCCCCACUAGGCCGGCCAUGUGCCAUGUGAUGUAAUUUGCAUUUCAUUUUGUUUAGCAUUAGGGUUGCAUUAUGGUCCUCCUUAGCCUAUAAAAGGAGGAGCCAACACCUUGUAUUUGGAAGACUAUUUUGAGUAAUGAAAUGCUGCCCAAGUGCCAUUCAAAUUGCUCCCUUGCCAAAUUCUCUCUAGAAUUAGGUUUUUAGUCUUCAACCUUCACCCUCAAUUGGAGAUGGCCGAACCACUCCAACCCUCACUACUCCUCAUGCACCUUCAAGGCACCCAUACUUCCUAGGAAGGCCUUGUUCCACUCUCCUCCACUAAGCUUCCGCAACCAUCAUCAUCAAAAUCAAAGAAGAGCUCAUAGGAAUGCCAUCAAUCUUUAUGUAAAGACUAAUGAUUAUGGAGAUUUGCUAAUUUUAUGUUUUUAUGUUUUUAUGUUGAUGAUGUGAUUUUUACAGGAAGUAAUCUCAAAAUGAUUGGUGACUUCAAGCAUAUCAUGAUGAAGGAAUUUGAGAUGAUUGAUCUCAGUCUUAUGUCCUUGUUUUGGGCAUUGAAGUCAUAUAAGGAGACAAUGGAAUCUUCAUUCGUCAAAGGAAAUUUGUUGCUGAGUUUUUAAAGAAAUUUAAGAUGGAGGAUUCAAACCCAGUUAAGACACCAAUUGAAAUUGGAAUUAAGCUUACGAAGGAAGGGGAUGGACGAACUGUAGAUGCAACAUACUUUAAGCAGAUUGUUGGAAGCCUUAGAUAUCUCACGUGUACUAGACCCGACAUAUGCUAUGCUGUGAGAUUGGUCAGUCGAUACAUGAAGUCACCUCGACAAGUUCAUUUACAAGUUGUUAAGAGAAUUAUGCGCUACAUCAAAGGUACUACAACUUUUGGUUUAUUUUACUCUUCAUCUAAGAAAAUUGAGAUUGUCAGAUACUCAGACAGUGAUUGGGGUGGAGAUUCAGACGAGAGGAAAAACACUAGUGGUAAUUAUUUUAUGAUCGGAAAGACUGUUUGCUUGUGGUCAUCAAAGAAACAGUCAAUUGUUGCAUUAUCUACUUGUGAAGCUGAGUAUGUAGCAACAACAAGUGCUUGUCAAUCAGUUUGACUUAGCAAUAUCAUAACUCAAAUUGGUUUCAAUCUAGAUGUUCCAAUUAAGAUUUUUGUUGACAAUGUCUUUGCAAUUAAUCUUGAAAAGAAUCCGGUUUUUCAUCAAACAAGUAAACACAUUGAUAUUCGAUAUCACUUCCUGCGAGACCAAGUUGGGAAGAACAUGAUCAAAUUGGAAUACUGUAGAUCAGAAAAUCAGAUUGCAGAUAUUCUCACUAAGUCAUUGAUGAUCGAUGCUUACAUCAAGUUAAGAGAUCUGUUGGGCAUGAAGGUUGAUCCUGCCGGUUGACUUAGCACAAGAGCGUUGCCUCGUCACGGUCUUCCUCACCAGCUUGACUCCACGUGCCCUCCAAGUCCGCACCACAGAUAGCCUUUCUGAGAACCUGAAAAACACACGAUGGCGCCUCUGCGGCCGGUGGCGCUCCGACGCUCAAGUCAGUGACAGGAACACCCAAAAAACUGAGAGAAAAUAUGCUUUGUAGGACCGUACUGAAAAGCACACAACCCUAGCAGAAUGAGCCGUAGUGAAAAUGUACCUCUGCAAAUUCUGUUAAGGUUACCUUUAUAGCUAGGUUUCUUCUCUCUCCAGGCCGUUAUGCUUUUGGACGCGUGGCUCGCAUCCAGCCCUGCACGUGUCGCCAUCUGGGCUGGGAUAGCAGGUAACACCCAGCCCUACACGUGUCAUCAUCUGAGCCAAGGUAACUCGAGCGUCAUUUCCCUAUUGCACCCAGCCCUACACGUGUCAUCAUCUGGGUUGGAGUAACUGGUAACAUCCAACCCUACACGCGUCGUCAUCUGGACUGGGGCAACUUGAACGUUAUUCAUGUGAAGUAACCAGUCGCGCGGCUAAGUCCUUUAUUCGAGGGGCGAGCUAGCGCGCGACAUGCUCUAGAACACCACCUGACAAGGUGAGUAUCGUGUGCAGCAAAGUGCACCAUCUCUGUGAUAUCGCUUAUCCUAAUGGCACCAUCCCUACCGCUGCGCCAUGCAUGUUCUGGCUGAGGAAACAUCGCCAUCAACGAAUGUCCACUCUGGGAAUCCCGUUGCUGAUAGGCGAGCUGUCCCCUCAACCCAAACACCCUUCACGCCCCAUGCUGGCGCAACAAUCACCUCACUGGAGUUGUACACUUGAACUUACACCUCUGGGCCUUCAUCUGCCUCAAUCUGGGCUUGUCGGGAGAUCUAGCGACGUGCUUCCUACGACGAUGUCAAGCUACAUGAUCGCCAAUCGCCAAAUACGUCAAUGACAAGCCAACCCGGCGACAACCGGCCAUGUUCAUCGCAGAACGCCAGUUCCAAGAACCGGCGACCACGCUCAUCUCUGAACCAUCCAUCUUUUCUAGCCUACAUAUUCCACUGAGCACGCCCCACCCGAGCACGUGCAAGACACGUCAUCACACCCGAUGACCUAGUCGGUACAAAGGUUGUUCCUCCAAAUCAGACUUAAGGGAGGAUGCUGGUUAUUAAUUCAGAUUUUAUUAGCAUUAAAUGUUGGUUAUUAAUUCAGAUUUUAUUACCCUUAAAUUAUUUAUCGUUAGUAUUGCAUUAAUGGUCAGUUUACCGACAGUUAGUAUUUCUAUUUUAUAGCUUCUAGUUUUUGUAAUUUUAUUAUAUAUAUUAUUGAAGUAAAUCAAAAUGAAUGAAUCAAUUCAGUAGUUUUGCAAUUUCGUGCAAUUACGUUCAAUCAGUUUUUACCACCUUUUGCCUUCUAUUAUUUCCUUCAAUUAGUUUCUACAUCUUUACCUUCCAAUAUUCAUUUUUGAUCUUUUUAAAAAUCAUUUAAACCUCUUAGAGUUUAGGUUUUGUUAAUUGUUUGGAGGCUAAUUACUCUUUUCACGAAUUUGGUUUGAUCCUUCCUUUUUUUUUUCUUUGUUACUUUUAUGGAUUAUAUUAUUGAUAACACUUUAAAGUGUAAAGCUAUUUAAAAUGUUAAAUUUUUUAGUAAUACUCAAACAAAUUUACAAAUGUUUUCAUUAUACUAUUAAAAGAGUUGAGUUAUUUUACAAAAUAAAAACAUUUUAAUAUAAUAUAAACUUAAUUUAAAAAGACAAUAAAAAAUCAAAUUAAAAUAUACCAAAUUUUUAAUGUUUUAACAUCAUUCUCUUAUUUUCUCCUUUAUUUAGUAAUCACUAAACAUUCUUAUUGUCACACAAAUGAAAGAACAUACACAGAAAAAUCAGUGAUAUGGACUUCUUUUUAAUAGUUUAUAAGUCUAGUAAUAAAAAAUGAGUAUCUAGACAAAUUUAAAAUUUGAAAUUGAGAAAAAAAAAAAUUUACAAUUUUACAAAAUCUAGUUUUAUAUAAUAAGUAUCUAGACAAUAGUGAUAAAAAAUUUAAGUAUAUAAUGAUAUGAUAAUUAGAAAAAAAAAGUAGUUUUUAAUUUUAUUAUUUUUAUUAACAAAAAUUAAUGUCUAAAAUAAAUUAAAAGUGACUAAAAUAUUAUUUUUAAUUAAAUCUUAACAAUUUUAUUACAUUAAAAUAUAUAUAAUUUAAUUAUUUUUAUGAAUAAUUAAUUAAAAAACUACACAAUUUAAAAAAUGUAUUUUCUUUAUUAUAUAAUAGUAUAGAUAAUGGUAUAGAUGAUUAUUUUCUUUAUAUAUUUUUCAGCAUUACAAUUAUAUCCUUACUUAACCCGACCCGACCCAUGAACAGAGUUAGGGUAAAUACAGAAAAUAGUUUUUAUCGCCGCCGACGGUUUCAUUUUGAACAAUCAUCUUCUGCCCAAAGUCGACGCCUUUGAGAGAAUUCUUCAAUAUGAGAUCUAAGGUUAAACGUAUUUCCUUUCAUCAUGUUUAUUUUACUGUAAAAUGGUCUAUGAUAUUCGCAGCUUUUUGUUGUAUUUGAUUUGAAGGAAUUCGACUGUUUGAUUGUAGAAAUUGAAAAGGGGAUAUUGUUUGUUGGUUUUGGUUUUUCGCAAGUGCCUUCUUGGGUAGUGGUGGUAGCUGAUUUUCUGACCACCGCCACCACGAGGCGUUGGCGAUGCGGAUUUUCCAUUUGUUAUCUCUCUCUGUCACCACUGCCACCGACCGCCGCCACUGACCGCCGCCGCCACCGACUGAUUAUUAUUAUUUGAAUCUUUAGACAUAAUAUAAUUUUUAGUUUUGACUGUCUAUUUCAUUAUAUAUAUAUAUAUAUAUAUUCUUUCGACCACAAUGCUUUCGUUGCGGUGCGUUACUUUAUAACUCUAUAAAGGAUUUUUGUGGUCUCUAUUCGAUAUCGAUGUAGAUUUGAAUCAGACUUAUCUCUUGAGGUAAAACAACAUAAAUGCUUUUUACCUUUUUAGUCCUUUAUUUUUCAAAGCUGGUCUGAUUCAGUUUAUAUAUGAUUUUUUUAUCGGAAAUUGUCUGAAUUUUAUAUAACUAUUUGUAUCUUAUUUCCCCAAACCAGACAGUGGGCUUGUGUAUCCAGGCAGCUGUCUU
rnacentral:lncRNA from 1 species